CUCUACCUCUCACUUCUGUCCUUUAUACUCCUGAAUGUCCUUUUAAUCUUAUUUCCAUCAGCAAAAUCACUCGUACUCUUAAUUGCUCUAUUACAUUUUCUGAUAAAUUUGUGACCUUGCAGGACCGGAGUACGGGGAAGACGAUUGGCAUAGGACGUGAGUCUCAAGGCCUCUAUCACCUCACCUCAGAUUCAUCUCCUGCAGUUUGCAUUUCCACUGAUGCUCCUCUCCUCAUUCACAAUCGUCUGGGCCACCCUAGUCUCUCCAAGUUCCAGAAGAUGGUUCCUCGUUUUUCCACUUUGUCGUCGCUUCCGUGUGAGUCAUGUCAGCUUGGGAAACAUACUCGUGUCUCGUUCCCAAAGCGUUUGAAUAAUCGGGCAAAGUCUCCUUUUGAGCUUGUUCACACUGAUGUUUGGGGUCCUUGUCGGACUGCGUCUACUUUAGGAUUUCAGUAUUUUGUCACUUUCAUUGAUGACUAUUCUCGAUGUACUUGGUUAUUUUUAAUGAAAAAUCGAGCUGAGUUAUUCUCAAUUUUCCAGAAAUUUUAUACUGAAAUCCAAACCCAGUUCAAUAUUUCUAUUCGUGUGUUACGCAGUGACAAUGCCAGGGAAUAUUUUUCAGCCCAAUUUACUUCGUUUAUGUCUCAUCAUGGGAUUCUUCAUCAGUCUUCUUGUGCUCAUACUCCUCAACAAAAUGGGGUAGCUGAACGCAAGAAUCGACAUCUUGUUGAGACAGCUCGUACUCUCCUCCUCCAUAGUCACGUUCCUUUUCGCUUUUGGGGGGACGCUGUUCUUACCGCUUGUUAUUUGAUUAAUCGUAUGCCCUCCUCUGUCUUACAUGAUCAGAUUCCUCACUCCCUUCUUUUCCCUGACCAACCACUUUAUUUCCUUCCUCCUCGUGUCUUUGGUUGUACUUGCUUUGUUCAUAUUCUCACUCCUGGACAGGACAAGCUUUCCGCCAAAGCCAUGAAGUGCCUCUUCUUGGGAUAUUCCAGACUUCAGAAGGGUUAUCGUUGUUAUUCCCUUGAGACUCAUCGGUACUUUAUCUCCGCUGAUGUCACCUUUUUUGAGGACUCACCCUUCUUUUCCACCACUUCUGAGUCUCUUCCUGUUUCUGAAGUCUUGCCCAUUCCCAUUGUCUCCCCACCUGAAGCUAUGCCCCCUCGACCACUUCAGGUUUAUCAUCGUCGUCCUCGUGUCGUUGCUCCUCUCCCUUUUCCUGAGGCACCUGCUGACUCACUUCCUAUCCCUUCGGCUUCACCUGCCCCGGCUCUGCCUUCUCCUAAUGACUUACCCAUUGCUGUUCGGAAAGGUACUCGCUCUACUCAUAAUCCUCAUCCUAUUUACAAUUUUUUGAGUUAUCAUCGAUUAUCUUCACCCUAUUCUGCUUUUGUUUCUGCUAUAUCCUCUGUUUCUCUUCCCAAGAGCACCCAUGAAGCUCUUUCCCAUCCAGGCUGGCGACAGGCAAUGGUGGAUGAAAUGGCUGCUCUGCACUCUAAUGGCACUUGGGAUCUUGUUGUUUUACCCCCUGGUAAAUCUACAGUUGGUUGUCGUUGGGUCUAUGCAGUUAAGGUUGGUCCUGAUGGUCAGGUUGAUCGCCUUAAGGCCCGCUUAGUUGCUAAAGGCUAUACUCAAGUUUAUGGUUCUGAUUAUGGUGACACAUUCUCCCCUGUUGCCAAGAUUGCUUCUGUCCGCUUGCUUCUCUCCAUGGCUGCUAUGUGUUCUUGGCCUCUUUAUCAGUUGGAUAUUAAAAAUGCCUUCCUUCAUGGUGAUCUUGCCGAGGAAGUUUAUAUGGAGCAACCUCCUGGUUUUGUUGCUCAGGGGGAGUCUGGUUUAGUGUGCAGGUUACGCCGUUCUCUAUAUGGCUUGAAACAAUCUCCUCGAGCAUGGUUUAGCCGUUUUAGUUCUGUUGUUCAAGAGUUUGGCAUGCUUCGCAGUACAGCAGACCAUUCAGUUUUUUAUCAUCAUAACUCCUUGGGGCAGUGUAUUUAUCUGGUUGUUUAUGUGGACGACAUCGUCAUUACAGGCAGUGAUCAGGAUGGUAUACAGAAACUAAAGCAACAUCUUUUUACCCACUUUCAGACCAAAGACUUGGGGAAACUCAAGUAUUUCUUGGGAAUUGAGAUAGCUCAAUCUAGUUCUGGUGUGGUCCUUUCCCAAAGGAAGUAUGCUUUAGACAUCCUGGAAGAAACCGGUAUGUUAGACUGUAAACCGGUAGACACACCUAUGGAUCCGAAUGUCAAACUUGUACCAGGACAGGGGGAGCCUUUAGGAGACCCCGGGAGAUAUCGACGACUCGUAGGUAAAUUGAACUAUCUCACCAUUACUCGUCCAGACAUUUCUUUUCCUGUGAGUGUUGUUAGUCAAUUCCUACAGUCACCAUGUGAUAGCCAUUGGGAUGCCGUAAUCCGUAUUCUUCGAUAUAUCAAAAGUACACCAGGCCAAGGUGUAUUGUACGAGAACAGAGGUCAUACUCAAGUUGUUGGUUACACAGAUGCAGAUUGGGCUGGCUCACCCACAGAUAGACGUUCCACUUCAGGGUACUGUGUUUUUAUUGGAGGUAAUCUAAUAUCUUGGAAGAGUAAGAAACAAGAUGUAGUGGCCAGAUCUAGCGCUGAAGCCGAGUAUCGAGCUAUGGCUUUGGCAACAUGUGAACUCAUAUGGUUGAGACAUCUUCUUCAGGAGUUGCGAUUUGGAAAGGAUGAACAGAUGAAACUCAUCUGUGAUAACCAGGCCGCAUUACAUAUUGCAUCCAAUCCAGUCUUUCAUGAAAGGACCAAGCAUAUUGAAGUUGACUGUCAUUUCAUUAGAGAGAAGAUCGCAUCAGGAUGUGUUGCUACAAGUUUUGUCAAUUCAAAUGAUCAACUAGCAGACAUCUUCACUAAAUCUCUCAGAGGUCCUAGGAUUAAAUAUAUUUGUAACAAGCUUGGUGCAUAUGACGUAUAUGCUCCAGCUUGAGGGGGAGUGUUGAAUAUAAUGUAUGUAUAGUAUACUAUCUUUCCUUAUUAAUAUAGGUCAUAUGUAUGGUAGUUAGGACUCCUAGCCUUGUAUAUAUAUAUAUCUCUCAAUUGUAAGUAAAAAUAUAUGAAUGAAAAUAAGGUUUUUCUCCUUUCUCUCUCUCUUUCAACAAUGUUCAUGAUUUAUGUGAUUUUACCAUUCGAGAGCAAGUAGAACCAAGUACAUUUAACAAGAUAUUCAGGAUGAAAAUAAUAAUCAGGAACCACAAUAGUUUUAAAUGAAAAUUAUCAUUCUUCAGGUGUCCAACCCAGCGGGGGGGAAAAAGUUGAAAGUUAGUCCUAAGGAUAAGUGAAAAAGAUAAUGAAAUGCUAACAGCACAAAAGGAAUACAAAUCCUAGAUCUGAAAAACAUAAUGCUUCAGUCCCUUAUGAUCUAAUCCAUUUUAAUUCACAUAAAAAUCAUAGAAACACCAAUUUUAAUUUUUCUGUAACAGAUUUGUUGCACUAUGGCCCCAAUAACUGCAGGUGAAAACAAAGAAACUGCUAGGCACCCUGUUAACUAGGACAUUCCUUUCUAGCAUGGACAUUUUAACAGAUUCCAUGUCUGACAAAGGCACUGACACUUCCUAGCUCUUAAAUGCAUAUGGCACUCAUAAUAAUCCCAAUUCUUCAACUUGACGCUAGUAACUUAGUAAAAUUCUUUUGAUGCAUUUAGUGAGAUUUUUGUAGGAUUAAGGCAUUUUUAUAUCUCCAGCAAUUCACAGGGUACGAAGCACCUAAGUAAGGGAAUCAUUUACCAAUAGCACACUUCAAUGUAAGUGUGGCCCCAAUAGCGCACUGUAAAAAGCUCAAUGUAAAUUGUGCCCUUUGGAGGCACCAAUCUAAAUUGCACUUAGAGAAGCAUACUUAUGAAUCACGCACUUUUGAGUGGCAGUUUAGAUUGCGCACCUAGGAGCAUAAUUUACAUUACACAAUUCAUUGACUGCGCUAAAGGAGCACCACUCAAAUUGCACUCUUACUAAGCGUGCUAACAGGAAUAGCGCCUCCUCCUCAAGCACUUCAACAUUGCGCGCCUCCUAAGUGCGCUAAGUGAGGGAGUGCACCUCACAGGCCAAUCCUGCACAGCCCCCACAAAGUGCACCUUCUCAAGAUCAUAAGUGCACAGUCCCCCCACCAAUAAAGAAGUGCACCUUCUUAAGAUCAUUAGUGCAUAAUCUCCCCACCAAUCAAGAAGCACACCUCCUCAAAAUUAUAAGAGCGCAAUCUCCCCUCCAACAAUGAAGCACACCCUAGACAACACCCACACUAGUGCAGUGCCUUUAUCUCUCCACAUUGCACUCUUACCAAUCCUUCUGAUCAUUACGCACCUAUCAAGGCAGUGCAAUUAUUGGCACCUCUAGGACUUCAACUGAUCCAUCAAUAUCACCAUGUUGUUCAAACUGAAAAAGAGAGAUGCAGCUACCAACUCCAAGCUAACACAUCAAGAAUGAUGGUUGCACUGACAUGGUCAAAUCCUUAGCAUGGAUACGAGGCAGUGCCAGACGAGGCAGCUUCAAAGUAGUUGGAGAGGGGGGAAUUUUGUUUUAUAAAUGAGGAAUAUGAAUAUACAAGUAGAAGGGGAUGAUAGGGAGAAAAUAAGUUAGUCAUUCUUAGGAGUAGAAGUAGGAGUAACUUUGUUUUAGCUAUAAUCUUGCAUUUGCUUUUCUUUUGUAAUUUUUCCUAGUUUUUAAGUUUCAUGAAUUUUCAGUUUAUUUCCAGUUUUCUUUUCAAUUUCAGCUUGCAAAUUUACAUUUCCAGUUCUUUUUACUUUCAACAUGUCUAGGUAGUUUUUACCACUCUAAGGGAUGAGAGGAGCUAAGGGUUUUCCAUCUCCUAGCUCUACUCACCAGUGGUUUACCUGCACUUGACUCGAUAGAAUCUUCUUUCAAUCAAUGGUUGCAAUGACCAAAAAAAGUAACCAUGGGUAGAAAGAUAUGUUGCACUGGUUGUGAGGGGCACAAGUCAAGCAACCAGGCCAGCAUGUUUGCACUUAGCAUUAAAUGAUUCUAUGAGUUAAGCGUACACCUGCUUAAAUGAAAAGGAAACCAUGAAAGCCAUUUGAUUGCUAGGAUCUAAAAGAGAGCAAUCAAACUUAGUUAAGCCCUUGUUGAGGUGGCUUCAGCUCAUGUUGAAUUACCCCUAGUCUAAUCCUAAAGCAGCAAGCAGGUUCAAUGCCUUGCAUAUGAGCUGAGUUAGGAAAUAAAAAUCUAGCAAAUCUCCACUCUUAGAGUCUGCUUUCCUUUAAUUGUCAAUCCUUAAAUUCUAUUUGUCUCCCAUUUACAAAAUCAUUCCUUGAGCUCCCAACCAGUACUCAUACUCCAAAAUCCUUUACCUCUAGAACCACCAAUCUAAAGUUCCUUGUGAAGAGGACCUAACAGUUAUAUAGUUGUUAGUUCUUUUUAUUUUUGGUUCAACAAUUGAAAGUUUCAACAAUAACUUUGGUUUAAUUCUUGUUGGUAAACUUUCAUUGCAAAUAAUUAUUUUUAUUUCUUUAACCAAACCAGGGAACAUCAAAACAACAGCUACAGGAAUAGAAUAAACUGCCAAAAAAGGCUCAAGAACUAAGCAAGAGAAAAGAAUAUCCAUUAAUGUUCAUGAUUUUAAGUGAUUUUAUCAUGCAAGAGCAAGUAGAACCACAUAAAUUAAACAAGAUAUUCAGGAUGAAAAUAAUAAUCAGGAACCACAACAGCUUUAAAUGAAAAUUAUCAGUCUUCAGAUGUCCAACUCAGUAGGGGAUAAAAACUUGAAAGUUACUCCUAAGGAUAAGUGAAGAAGAUAAUGAAAACCUAAUAGCACAAAAGGAAUACAAAUCCUAAUUCUGGAAAGCAUAACAAUUCAGUCCCAUCUGACCUAAUCCAUGUUAAUUCACAUAAAACCCAUAGAAAAACCAAUUUGAAUUUUUUUUUUUUUUUUUCAUAAUAGAUGUGUUACACUAUGGCCCUAACAACUGCAGGUAAAAACCAAGAAACUGCGAGGCACCCUGUUAACAAGUACAUUCCUUUGUAGCAUGGACAUUGUAACAGAUUCCAUGUCUGACAAAGCCACUGACACUUCCCAGCUCUUAAAUGCAUCAGGCCUAAUCUGAACGUGUCCAUAAUUUUAAGAGAAGUCUGUCACUUACAUUAUUGAAACAUCGCAGAUUCUCCAAGAUAUAUAGGUCAUCAAUCUGCAGACACAUUUUUCCCACAUAUGACCACAUAAAGUAUUGAGAUUUUUAUACAGAGGAAUUAAGAAUGUAAUAUUCUCAAAAUGCUUUUUUAGUACAUGGUCAUCCUUUCCUUUAAAAGAGGACAAAUUGAUAUUGCAUCAGAACCCAACAUACCUUUCACAAACUGAUAAACAUAGGGAUAAAAUUGCCACUAAUAACUUGAAAAGGGACUAUGGAUAGUUUCAGAAGCUGCUGAAGAACUUACAGUACCAAAAAAAUUGAAACCAAUUUGACUCAGUUUGUACUCAUUCUGAUCAAUAUACAGGUGGUACUGUACCAGGUAUGCCCCAGAGAGAGAGAAAAAAUGCAACAAAUACUGCAGUUCUAAAAAUGAAAUAAUGGUGGACAGGAUUCUCAAGAUUUUCAGGCUUAAUGGAAGGGAAAGGUCACAUUAGGGUUUAUGGAUGAAACUACAUUUAGAUCGGCAGCAGGUUAAGCUGCCUUGUGGGAUGUCAUCAAAAGGGAAGCUGCCUAGAAUUGUAACUAGCAUCACAAGAAGAAGAAUAAAGAGGAUGCAAGAAGAUAACCAUGUUAAUGAGACUUUCACAAAGUCUCAUUUGGAAGAGAAAUUAACCGAGUCUCCCCAUCAAAGGGUGCAAAAUGUGCAAAGAAUUAUGAUUAGUUGCCACAACUCUCGCACAAAUAAAAGCACGACAGUGGGUUACUUCUGCACUUUCACCAAGAUAAGGGACUUAUAUAAAUUUAGUGAGUUAUAGAGUAAAAACUCAAAUUUCCAGUCUCUAGUGUUCACAUACUUUUCUUUUUUUCUACCUCCUUUUUCUCUAUUUAUUCUUUCACAACAUAGUAAAUCAACUUGGAACCAAAUCAUUCAUUAUAGAAUAUCAGAACAAGAAAAAGGGACAAACUGUAUAAGAGCUGACAUAGGUAUCUGACACAGCCACGAGAAGGUAGGUACAUCUGUCGUUGAUCCUUCUGUUGACAUAUCAUUGCAAAUUGAAGCCUUCUUCAAAUAUUCUUUUUGCCCUAUUUGCCAAUGGUAUUAAAAACUCGAACUGCUUGACUAGAUCUGUUUUCUCAACACUUUUUGGGCUGUUGUUCACCUAUAUCAAUAAUUCAAACUUUUUUUUUUCUUCUUUCUGUCUCUAGUUGGACAGAUUGCUCCAGAGUUGUGCUUUUUAAGCCUUGCAGAGGGUAGAAAAUCAUGAUGGUUGACUGAGUUUGAUCCAACCAGCCUUGGUCUUUUACUUCUCUGCUUCUUCUCAUAUUUGUUUGGGUCAGCUAAGUGAUUUUAGGUGAAAAGGAUCUGCAGUCUGAGUUUAGUGCCUUGUGUGUUGUUGAUCAGUACUUGAUUCUGACUUCUUGCUUCAUUUCUAAUUGUGUCUGACCAAUCUAAGAAUCAUAUUUGAGGUUAAUGAAGUUGUUGACAGUUUCAUAAUUCAUGUUCUGAGUCAGGUUAGUACCUAAGGCCAUAGCUCCACACUCCAGAUACAGUAGUUAAAUUAAACAGUAGCCCCUAGUUAAAGAAACCCGACAGUACACAUCCUAAAUAAGCCAAAUGAAAAUUCCCCAUGUCCUGUUUUCUUCAUUCUGUCCAGCUAGACAUUUAACCGCAAAGCAGAAUUGAGAUGCUGCAGCCUUGAAGGUAGGAAAUGUCGCACAGAUAUCUGAGUUAAGUGGAAGAUCCACAAAAUGAUGCAGACAGAUAGGAGUCUGGGUACUUCACUGCCUUACAAAAUUGUGAAGAGCUAUACACCAUCACAAUUUUCACAAAAAUUUUCCAUGGGAUGCUCAUAAAUUUAAGAAGAUGAGCAAUUUUAUUUUCUUGCAGGUCUGAAGAGGAAAAACUGUAACAUGUUUCAACUUUAAAAAGAGAUCCUUUUGCCUUCACUUAGUCAAGUCUAUACCUUCGAAGGAAGAAAGUAAAUGAGAAGAAAUGCAAUAUCAUUCUAUUGGGGAUAAGUGUGCCACAGCAAGAUGGAAAAAGCAGUCCUAAAUUCUAAGAUGAAGUAUUUGACAAAGUUGGGAUUAAUAAACAAAAAUAGUAGGAAAGACUAAGGUGGUGUUUGUUUUUUGGCUGAAUAGAAGAAGUCAAAUAUUUUGACUUCUUCUAUUCAGCUAAAAGUAACCUAUUAAUAGCAAUCAACAUAACAAAACUAGUUAUGUUGUUGAUAUCAAUAGGUUACUUUUAGUUGAAUAAAAAAAACCAAAUAUUUUGGUUUUUUCUAUUCAAUCAAAAAAACAAACGUGGUAAGUUUUAAUAAGUGAAUUUGAAGCCAGCCACAGCAGCUGGGGAUGCUCCAAAAAGAAAGCCAGUGAAAUCAGAAGUGUUAAUCCAACCUGAACUGCUGAGAUGAAAGAGAAAAUAUAUCCAUAAAAAUUGCCUUCUCAGCUAUUAAAAGAACUAGUACAAAGGAGAACUAAAUUUACUCACUGUGAGCACAGACAUAGGUCAUAACAUCAUGAAACUGGAAUGUUGCAUCACGAUUCAACACAAAUCCAUGUAAUUAGUUAUGAUCCCAAUGAUCAGACAAAUAAAAUCCAAUCCGCAAAGACUUGAUUAGGCCAAUAAAACUCAAAAUAAUCAACAAUUUACAACAACGGUGAAGCUGAAAUCAUAUUAAACUAGAAGUGGAACUGAUGAUAAAGCCUAUCUAAAAUUAGUCCCCAAUUAUGGUCUUUAUAAUCACCCUCUCAAGAAACAAAAUAAUCCAAAAAAUUAUAAUUUCGAACCACCACAAAAGCACUCCAAAUAAAGAACAUAAAAAGAACAGCAUUUUUCCCCAAUUAAACAAAAGCAAACCCAUCCAACACAUACAGAACCCAACUUAACAAGCUCUAUCUAUCAAAAAUAGAGAGAACCCAGUUGAGAAUAGACCAAAAAAGAUGGAAAAAAAUAAAAAUAAAAAACCCCACUAAAAUAACAAAAGAAGAAAUUGGGUAUCAAAGAUAACAAUGGUCGAUGAUAAACACAUGCAAACCUCGAAAACUAACUAGGGGGGAAUGUGAAAAUCUUACGUAGAACUGAAGACAAACCAGAGUUGAAACCUGAGAUGGUCGAAAUGGGAUAAGAAGCCGGUAAUUCCUGGGACUAACGAGACGGCCGAAACGCUGGCGGGAAAGAAAUAGGAAAAGCACAAGAAUGAAAUGCUGGGAAGAGAAGAGGCGACACGACACCAAAUUGUGUUGGUGUUCCUUUGCCACUUUGGAACUCCUGACGUUAAAUUAAAUGAGAACCAUACAUACGAUUAGACACCUCUUUCCUGUAUUUUGUGGAAAACAUAUUGGGAAAAAUGUGUUUUGGGCAGGCCAUUCGGUAAUAAUAGCAUAUUCGGAACUCAAGGUUUGGAAUUUUAAGAUUCCCCUAGUGAAAAAUAUUGGGUUUUUUUUGCCCUCUUGCUGAUUGGGCUUUUUAUGCCCAAUUUGCCCUUAGCUAUUCUCCAUGUCAGCAUCCUACUAACAUUGAGGUUUGAAAUUUCCCAAACAGUGCUCUCUCUCUCUCUCUCUCUCUUAACUUCCUCACCACCCGAACUCAAGACUUCCUCUCAUUUUACAACUAAUAACCCUAAUCCCAAAAUCCAUAUCUUCUUCUUUCAUCAUUAAAGUAUAAUUUUUUAAAAAUUUUCAAAAAGAGGGUCUCCUUCUAUUUCAAAUUAAUGAAUCAUAAGUGAGUUUUUCAUUUAAGGCUUUGUUUGGCUAUUGAGAAAAUGUUGAAAUUGAAUUGUGAAUAAUCUUUUGGCCUCGAAGAUCUCUAUUUGAUGAAAACCCAUUUUAGGGAUUGUGUGAGUUGGGCUAUCUUAUAUUUUGCUUCAUUUUCGCAUCAAUAAAGUGGAAGAUAAUUUUUUUUUGGUUAAAUAAAUAUUUAUAUUUGUAAAUGAAGUAGAAAAUUUGGUUUCCUUACCACGAUUUGACUUCUCCAAAUUUUUGGGAGCUAUGAUUGAUAUAUAUUACUAUUACAUGAUGUAUUGUUUAAUUAAUUAUGUCUUCAUAUUCUAAUUCUUUUAUCGUUCAUUUUAUUUUUUUUAACAAAUGUCCAAUGUUGCUUCAAUUUCUGGGAGGUGGAAAUGUAAAAAUAAAAAAGUUGAAUGACCUCAUUUUGUAUAUAUUUCUCAUAAACCAGAUACAUGCAUGUUUUUUCCUUUUGUUAUCUUCUCAUCAAUAAAGUGUUGUAUUUAUAUUCCAAUCUUGGAAAUGGAUUUGAUCCCUGAUCAUUAUCAGGGUUUUGAAUUCAAAUGUGGAGGAAAAAAAAUUAAAUGAUUUAAUCCAUGAUUAUGAAAUUGGUCAUUAUAUUUAUGUGUUGAUAAUGUGAUGAACCAGAGACUGAUAUUCUAUUUAAAUUUUAUUUAUCAAAAAAAUCUUACAAUUUUCUAUAUAGAAGCUCAUAGGAGAGAGAGAACAAAAAAAAAAUCAUCAUAAGUUUGGGCCUGAUGUCCUUUUAUAAAAAAGUAUGUUUUGGGCUCCCCAUCCCAAAAUAAUAGGGAUUUCGAAACCCAAGUACGCCAAAUUAGGGGAAAGUAUGGUCACUCUCAUACAUUAGGUGCGUUAAUCUCCAUUUAAGUCUAAGGUUUUCGAAAGCUUAACAAUGUUUGAUUGGGGUUUUCGACAACUGAAAUACCCUAACUUUGUCGUCUUCGUCUCAGGAACCAAAUUUGAAAAACCCUGAAAAUAAUGAAUAAGCAUGAUAGGGUUAAAACAUAGAAUAGAGUAUAAGAGUGCUCAACGACCUUUGAAUCCUAAGUACUACCUUGUGUAACACAUAGGUACUAUGUCUAUGAAGCUUAGGUACAAUCUUAAUGAACCUUAGGUACUACCUCUAUAGUUGAAGCAUGAUAUAUGUAUGCCUUUGCUUUUGUUGUUGUUAAAUAAUAUUUUUUAGAAUGCUUUAAUUUAUUAUUUGAAUUUUGGAAAUGCUAAUCAUUGAAAGUUAUUCUUGUUUAUAGAAAUUUGGAUUUUGAGUUGAGAUUUUAAAGGUAAGUUUUUGUUUUUUCAUCUUUGUUUUCAUUUGAUGCAUAUUUUGAAAUUGAACGUUUCUUUAAAGUGAAUCGUCAUUCAUUGUUUUAUUGUUGUUGUGAAUAUGCAGUGUUGACUGUACCUUGUUGAAUUCAAUUAAGUUUUUUUUGGAAUUUUGUGAUUGAGAUUCCUUUUCUCCAUGUGGUUGUUUAGUUGUUUGUGAAAGUUAUCGUUACAGUUAAAGCUUGUGUUGCCGAAGAUUCUUAGGUGUAUAUGUGGGAUUGAUGGUUGCUAAUUUACUACUUUCUAUUUACAAUUACUUCAAUUUAGUGUUAAACUAUCUUAGCCUCUGAUUAAGAACGUUUAAGGUUAAGUGCUAAUAUAAUAAUUAUUGCUUAUUUAAUUCAUUAUUACUAGGUAUUACAACCUUAGUGAACAUUAGGUACUACCUUAACACACUUUGGCUUACUACCUUUGUGAACAUUAGGUACUUCAUUCGACAUUAUGUUUUAUGAUGUUAGUCAGUUUGUUCACCUUAGGUGCUUACUAAACCUUAGUACUACCUUAUUGAACCUCCUUAGGUACUACCUUAGUAAACCUUAAGUACUACCUUAAUCAACAUUAAAUACUACCUUAAUCAACCUUAACUACUAUCUUAAUUAAACUUGGGUACUACCUAUGUGAACCUUUGAAAUUUCAUUUUUGAACCUUAAUUACUUCAUUUGUGAAUAUUAGGUACUUCCUUUGUCAACCUUAGGCAAUUUGUUUGUCAAUUAUAAGACCAACAAGUGGCAUUCAAUCCAAACUAAACUUGCAACAUAUUCAAUUGCACAUAGACCUGAGCAUAGCAUUGUGUUUUAUUAGGGUGGUCAAUUGGUUCACUUUUGGUAUAGUGAUCAUUAAACCUUAGGUACUACCUUAAUCAACCUUAGGUACUACCUUAGCACACCUUGGCUUACUACCUUUGUGAACCUUAGGUACUUCCUUUGACAUUAUGUUUUACAAUGUUAGUCAAUUUGUUCACCUUAGGUUCUUAUCAAACCUUUAGUACUACCUUACUGAACCUUAGGUAUUACCUUAGUAAACCUUAGGUACUACCUUAAUCAACUGUAGGUACUACCUUAAUCAACCUUAGGUACUACCUUAGUUAAACUUGGGUACUACCUGUGUGAACCUUUAAAACUUCAUUUGUGAACCUUAGUUACUUCAUUUGUGAAUAUCAGGUAGUUCAUUUAUCAACCUUAAGCAGUCAGUUUGUCAACCAUAAUAUUGACAAGUGGGAUUCAAUCCAAACUGAACUUAUAACAUAUUCAAUUGCACAUAAACUUGAGCAUGACAUUACAUUUUAUUAGGGUGGUCAAUUGGUUCACCUUUGGUAUAGUGAUCACUAAACCUUAAGUACUACCUUAAUCAACCUUAGGUACUACCUUAAUCAAUCGUAGGUACUAUCUUAGUGAACCUUCGGUACUACCAUAACACACCUUGUCUUGCUACCUUUAUGAACCUUAGGUACUUCCUUCAGCAUUAUAUUUUACAAUGUUAGUCGGUUUGUUCACCUUAAGUACUUAUCAAACCCUAGGUACUACUUCAUCGAACCUUAAGUACUACCUUAAUUAACUUGAGGUACUACCUUAAUCAACCUUAGGCAUUACCUUAAUCAACCUUAGGUGCUACCUUUGUGAAUCUAUGUACUACCUUUUCCUUAUGUGGUUGAACCUUUUUAUUAUUUUGUCCACUUUGAUUCCAAGCUUGGCAUGUUAUAUUUUGAAUUUUUUCAUCAUCACUAUCAUUAUCCUACAAUGUGGUAUACAUGUGUGAAUUAUAUGCAUUUUUGUACAAUCUUUUGCAAUAAUCAUUAUUUGACCAAUUAUCAGAAAAUUAACCAAUAAUAAUUAUGUCAUCAGAUAUCGAACAUGCAAACAUACUAUGUAGUGUUUGUUGGACGCAAACAUGGAGCGUAUGAUUCUUGGGUUUAAUUCCAAAAAAAAAUGUGUUCCUCUAUAAGGAGAGUGUUUACAAAUCAUAUACUUGUAGAGAAGAAGUUGUCUGAGCAUGGGUGUUCUAUGAACCAAGGUGGAGGAGAAGUGAUGAAUUUUCAACAUCUAGAAAAGCAAAGUCUAAACAUGUAGUUAUAGAUGACCAUUCCAUGCAAAAUAUUUCAUAUCCAUCUAUUAUAGUUUCAUAGUUGGCUUCUUUGUAGCAUGUGUUUCCCUUAUUGUAAUAAUUAAAUUAACAUAGGUUGUUUACAUGUGUUAUGAAUAUGAAUGUCUUGUAAUGUGGUAUUGAUAGUAUUCAUAGGUACCAUGUGAUUAUUAUUAACUUUGUAGUUCACAAAUACAAUUUUAGGUUAGGAACAUGUAUUGAAUGUUUCUUAAUGCUCAUAGUUAAGGAAUUAUGUAACCUAUAUGACUUAUUUUCUUCUCCAUUCGUCAUAUAAGUGUCUUAAACUUCAUUUCAAUAUACUAUAAGUAUGGACUAACAACUUUUGUAUAGGUAUUAACUCUAUAACCAACUCCUAAUUACAAUAUUUAUUUUUAUUUUUAUUAGUUCUUUAAGUAUGCUAUAAUAUUGUUGAAGUCAUUAUAGCUUAGUAGUGUCUAGAAUCUUUGAUGUUUAACCUUAUCACUAGUACUGUCAUUAAUGUACUAUUUCCUAUUGCAAACAUUAAUGUUUGAUUCUUAAUUUUUAACUAGUUAGUUUAUUUGUCUCCACUUCCAUUCAAUUAGUUGCAUUGCACUCAUUGUACACAAUGACUAUUGAAAAGACUACUCACUAUUCUGUAUCAGUAGUCUUUGUGGAAAGCUAUUCUGUUUUAUUACAAAUCUCUCGUGUUGGCCUACAUAAAGUGGGGACCAUUAUAGCUUAACACAAUAUCCAUGCAUAGUUCAUUUUUAGACAUUGAUUAUUAAAAAGACUACUCACUAUUUGUGUGAGGUUUCAUUGUAGGAAGUUAUUCUCUUUAUUGCAAUUUUGCAGUAUUGCUCUAGAUAAAGUGGUGACCCUCAACCAUUGUAGCAUUAUAUAAUCAUGUGCAAUUCAUUUUUCCAUACUGAUUAUUGAAAAAACUACUCACUUUUUUGUUUCAAUCUUCAUUACAGGAAGCUAUUCUUUUUAUUGUAAUUGUAGUGUUGGUCUACAUAGUGGUGACCCUCAACCAUUGUAGCAGUUCAAUCACUCAAUGUGGUGUGACUAAGGUUGUCAAAGGAAAUCCCAACUAUUCUAAUGAUGUCCUAUUCGAUAGAGUGUCAUUGGAAUUAUGCUCAUUCAAUAUAAGAUUUACCUCACAAAGCAUUCUUUCAAUGUAAAUUUACUGAUCUAAUAACCCGAUUGUAAUUGUUUUAAUCAUCAAUAAGUACCUCAUUAUUAAACAUACUCAUGUUAAUGUUAUUUGAAUGCAUGAAAUUAAAAUAAAAGCAACACAUUACUACACAGUUAGUCUUAUUGUGGUGUGUCAUACAAAUAUGCAAUGUGCCUCAUUUGAAUUGUGAUUACAACAUGGUAUGAACAUUACUAAAAAAAUGUAAGGAUGAUGUUUUCGCAUGACACAACAUUUCAAUAUUUUGACACAUUCACUUACCUUAAUCACCUUCGGUAUGCUCAUCAGACAUUUCAGUAUCUGAUUUAUACUCUAGUGUUGUUAGUACUUAAGCUACUUCAAUUGGGUUCACACUUUUCCACGUCAAUGUAGUAUAGAGUAGCUCUUUCAACAUGAAAUAUCUAUUUCUUUGAAUAGCCAUUUUGUUGUUUUUUUCCCAAAUGUAGUUCAAUGCCUUACGUAAUUGAAUUAUUUCAUUUCUAUCCAUCGUUGUUGCACAACGACAUGGUAUAGGUGCACCAAGAACUUGAAGAUCAUCGACAAGAGUUCCCAAUUUGUUAACACAAUAAUCCCACUCUACAGUCAUAGUUUGUAAAGUGCGGUUGUUGUAACAAUCACAUGGCUUCAUUAGGUAGUAAAAUUCGUUUCCAACUCCCAAUAAUGCCUUGUAGAUUCAAACACAUCUCUUAAACUAUAAUAUUUACCAAGUAAGUGUAAUGUUUAUGGAUACAUGCUUCUCGUUUAUCGCUUGUUUACCUUUAGAAGAUGAAAGCUAUAUAUAACCAUACGUACACAAUCACAGGAAAAUCAGGGUUGUCAACACAUUGCAAUUUCAAUUGAAGUGACAAAACAUGGCAUGAAGUGAAAAUACAUUUAGGCUUAUUAAGAGGUGUUGCUUAGCUACUAUACUCCUUCACUUCACGGGACCAUUGGUAAUAGGAAUACAAGUUUGUCUUUGAAGUUGGAUUUCACCAAAGGUUAUUGCACUACCAACUUCACUGGAUUUGACGAUUCAAACAAUAGGUGAUUUGAUAACUCACAAAGUACAUGGGUCAACCCCUUCCAUUUUCUGAAUUGAUAUGCCAAUACAUUGCAACUUGUAUGUAUUGUAUGUAAUGAAUGGAGCUUUUUGUGUGAGGUCAUUUGUAAUGUACUUUUAUAGUAUAAUGCAAUUUAUAUUGAGCUGACUUUAUAUGAAACACCUUAAUAUUUUAAUUGUCAUUGCAUUUCAAAAUUCAUUUAUGCUUUUAUAAACUAUGAUGCUAUGCACAUUCAUUCCAUAAAAAUACAUGGUUGGAAACCAUGAGAGACCUAAUUUAACAAAGAAUUCGAGCUCAUCGACGUCGUAACCAACAUUGGGGAUUACCUAAUCCAUAUAGUUACAAUGACUUAUGGACCCUAUAUAGAAGGGAAUACUAUGUAGUUGUGUAGAAUGAAUAAGUUGAACGAGUCAAUGAGGCUAACAUACUCAUCGAAGAAUUGCAUGCACUGCAUGCUCCACUUCCACGAUGUCAUUCCUUGAGAAUGCCAUAGAAUAGCCAUCACGAGUACAUUGAAGCAUUUUUGUAAAUACGUGAGGAGAACAAUAGAAUGGUAAUUCAUAAAGCACACAACUUCUUACUGUGUAUUGCAAGAGAAAAUGCAUAUGAUUAUAAUGGCAAAGAGUUAUCCUCCAUUGAGCACAAUGCUUUAUUUCAUAAUCCCAAUUUUGUCUCUGAUUAUCCUAUGACCGAUGAGGAUUAAGAUUAGAGCAUUUCCAUAUUCAUAUUGCAUCCAUUUGAAUUAAACUAUGUCAGACUUGCAAAAUAUGUGUAUUUUGCUGGUAUAUAAUGAUGGAUGUUUUUACAAUGCUUGUUAGACCUAUUAUGUGUCCAUUAUGUAUACUUGUUUAAAUUUAUGCCCAAUUCCUGUUUUAGUCUUGUUAUCAUCAUGAAUUAGUUCAUGAUUUAUUAUUGUAUGUUGGAUGGAUGCCUCAUUGUAUGAGUAAUAAUUUAUUCUCAUCAAUUAGUGUGCAAACAUAACAAUGAAUUAUUAUCCCCACACUUGCAAUUCUCUGGUUGAUAAAUGGCAUCCAACCCAUCUCCAUUUUUUUGCAUUUAUACACAAACCCACAAAUUUUUCAAAUAGAAGAGCAAUAUCUUUCAUAUUGUAGGAUAUGAAAAAUGUAUAUUUGUAAAAUUCUCAUAAAAUAACCUCUCUUGGUGGAGUGAAUUUCCCAUACCUAUUACACACUAUACAUUUGGAAGUCCAAUUACAGCUUCCAGUUCUAUGAAAUCAUAUGUUCCAAUUAAUAACAAAACUUGCCAUGAAAAUCACAUGAUAUUUUAUCAUCCCAAAGUUUCUUUCUAUCAAAACCCUUAAAUUUUAUGCUCUAAGCUUAGUGAAUUAAGCACUUGUUGAAUCAUUGUUGAAAGGAUGACAUAUUGAGCUAUUACAAAUGGAACACUAACUUAUGUCUAAUAAUUAGGAUUCCAUGUUGGAUAUGAAUAAUUUCCUCUCAUCAUUUUCUAACCAAAUAGAAAAAUAGUGUUUUCCUAAUAUCCUUGAAAACUUCAUCAACGAUUUAGAGAGUGGCGAUCCACAUAAAAGCUAAAGAAGGACAACAAAGGACUGAUGAUAAGCUUAGUCAUGAUCCAUGGUUUAGACUAAAACAUUGCCAAAUCUCAGCUAAAUGACUUGUUCUUAACAAGGCCUCUUAAACAUGUGUAAACCAACUCAUAAUAUGAGUAAAGCAUAAAGUUGUCUUCCUUAAUUUCCCAAUCCAUGACUCUGAACAUUUUGACUCUUUACUCAAAAUCUACAUGCAAACACUACUACUCUUGGUAACCAAUAUGUGGAUGGAAAUCAAUGGGGCCUUCAGGGAACCCUGCCUUAUUGCCGCCCAUGUAUUCCAAUGGGGACUACUCUUCACGUUUGGUGGUACAAAAAACAAGUAAUGACAUAAUCUUAUGUAAUUAAAAAGAAAAAGAAAAAAAAAAGUUCAUGCUAAAAAGCAAUGAUAUACGUAUUGAACCCAAAUCUUGGUAAAUUAUAGGAAAAUUGAUAAUUUAACAUGAUAUCAAAGCUUGGUUUAGUAAGAGGUUAUGGGUUCCAACCACUUCUCCAAUUUGCAAUUCUUUUUCUAUAUUUGCUCUUCACGAUUUGCAGUUUUUUGUUGUUGUUUGCUCUCCACGUAUGGGUAUGAGGCCUCACGUGAGUGAGGGUGUUAAAACACAUUCUGUUAGCUUAAAUUAUUUAAAAAAUUGGUAGUUCAAUAAUAAUAUCAAAUGAGCCUCAUUUCAUUAAAUUCAUGUUUUUUCAUGGAUAUUUUGGAAUAUAAUUUCAUUUUUUAGAUGGACGAUAAUCAUGGAAGAUAAAUUUCAUAUGGGUUUUUUUUAUUAGGGAGGAUAUAUAUAUACAUUAUGAAUGGAAAAUGGUGCUUUUGGUAAACUCUUUGAUUUGUCAUUAGUAUAGGCUAUAUACCAUUAGUCUGAAGUCAUUCAAUUCCAAAGUUCAUGCAUGGGUUCUUUUCUUAUGUGAGGAAAAAAAAUCUUCUUUCUUUCUGAAGAAAAGAAAGUGGGAAAAGAACCAAAGCUCAAAGUGAUGAUAAAUGGGGUUUAGUGGCUGGCAAGUGGCUUGCAAAGUUCCAUGAUUUAGGGUUUAAGUAUUUGCGUGUGGGAAUGACAAAACCCUCAACUUUGAUGCCACUUAACUGGGUUGCAAGCUUUUGGUAGAUAAGGUUAAUCACAUGUAUGUUUUGUAGUUAAUAAAUCAAUGGGUUAAAGUUGUCCUCAACCAUGAAAGGUCAAAGAACAACCCCGACCCAUAUUAGGAAUUAAUGAACAACUUUUGCAUUGUGAAGAGUUUCCUCAAAAUGUCAUUCAAUUAGUGGGAUUCCAUAGAGUCAACAUCUAGUGAUGGAGUUGCCUAACUACCACAUACAACUGACCAUAGCUAUUUUGCCACAUAAUAGCUCAAAUCAUUUGAAUGAUGUAAUGUCUCAAGAGGAAUUAAUACAAAAACAAGAUGUGAUCAAAAGAAAAAAAAGAUUGAUGAGAUUUCUCAUUGUUAUCAAAGCCACCCCAAGUUAAAUGAAUUUUCAUACAAAAAGAUUUUUUUUUGAAAAAAAAUGAAGAAUGCUUAUUGAAGAUUCAUGUAACUGUCACACUGAAGUCACUUUCAAUUGUCGUACAUAUCAUCACCUUUUGCCAAAAAUUUAAACCAUAUAAAACUAUUGAGUUAACACUUUAUCUUACAUGCUAAUUCUUCUUUAUGCAUGAAAUAGUUAUGUAAAUAGGCUUGAGCUAAAAAUCUUUCAAACCCAAAAUUUAACUGUUGUCUUCACUUAUCAAAAAAUGGGCAUGUUGGAUUUUUUGACAAUAAUUAUGCAUCUCCUAAAAACCGACAAACAAUCCUAACCUUGGAAGUGAACUUAGGCAUGUUGGAUUCAUAUUAUACAUAAAAGGGAAACUAUAGACACAGGGAAUUAGUGAUAACAGAACAACUUUAGGUCUCUAUUCAAUAAUCAUAAUUCUCCAUUUAGAAAGAAGAAAGAGAAAAUAUUAGGAAAUGUAGGCACUCUUCUCCUACUGAAAUAGUAGAAACCUUAGGAGAUUUAGUUAACUAGCUUUGAUUUUGAUGAAAAAGAUUUUUUAUGUCAUGGUAGAAUUUUAAGUGCCUUAUAUGAUAAUGUUUACAAUAUUUUUUAUAAUACAAGAAAAUUCGUACAAUUGUGAGAAGCCUUAUAGCUCAAAUAUGGAUAUGAGGACGCAAAAUUAAAAAUAUAUCAUGUGAAGAAUUUUUUGAAUUUUAAAAUGGUAUAUGAAAAGUCAGUAAUGGAACAAACUGAUAUGUUUCAAAAUCUUGUUUAUGAUCUUAGAAGUAAAGGUGUUAACAUAGAUGAUACUCUUGUAGUUGCUUCUUUGAUUAAAAAUCUACCACCUUUUUGGUCUAAUUUUAGAAGAAUGUUAAAUUAUGGGACUCAUUAUUCUGAAUUCUCUGAAGUUUUAGAAGGAUUUAGUGAUUCUAAUUGAAUCUUAGACUUUGAUGAGACUAAAGUGACUAGUGGACGUGUUUUCACUUUAGGAGGUGGUGUAGUUGCUUGGAAGCCUGCUAAACAAACUAUUAUAUCUCGAUCUACUAUGAAAUUUGAAUUUAUAGCUUUAGACUUGACAUGUGUAGAAGUUGAAUGGCUUUGAAGUCUUUUAAUAGAUAUGCCUUUAUUGGAUAAAUUGAUUCCUACUGUAUCCAUACACUAUGAUAAUUAAGCUACCAUAGCAAAGGCUAAAAGUACAAAUCUGAAUGAGAAAAGAAGACAUAUAAGAAUAUGACAUAAUUCUAUUAAAAACAUGUUUUCUUGGGGAGUAACAUCUCUUGAUUUUGUAAAAUCUCAAAAGAAUAUUGCAGAUCCUUUAACCAAAGUAAUAAUCGAAUCAUCGAGUAAAAUGGAAUAAAACCUAUAAACUGGUCAUUGAAGUUAAUUAGAGAUCCCAUGAAGAAGGUUCAAUGGGUAAUAAUGAAGUUACAAGAUGAUUAAGAGAAACACUAAUUUGAGGGGUAUUCCUGAGUCUCAUUCCUAUGGUGAUAGUGCUUAAUUUUGUGAUGGUGUUUUAAGAAUAGCAUAGCUUUGAAUGAGACCAAGGUAGGAUUUCUAAAGGAUGUUAAUCACAAAUCAUCCUUGGAGGACUCACCUAUGUAGAUAUAGUAGUGUGGUUGCUACUAUAUACGGGAAGUUAGGCUAAUCCUUAAAAACACCUAUGAAACAAGAUACAUGUGUAUGACCAAAAAGGUGCAAAACAGAAUAGAACUAAGUUAACCACUCUUACUAUAUUUAUAGUAAAAGGUAAUUUGAAUUGAAGAACUCAGUUCAAGAUUUAGUUCACUAUGGUUUUUUCAAAUAGAAAGUUAUAUACACUAAGUAUAGGUUUAAGUCAGGAAGACACCUAUACCUAUUACACAAAAAAAAAAUUUAUAUUAAAUUUUAACUUAUGUGGGAGGUUGUCAUAUUUAAUUAAAAUUUAUAAUUAUUAUAUUUAUGUUAUUUUAAUUUUAUAUGUUAUUAUCUUAAUUUUUAUUAUUAAUUUUUAAUUAUUAUGAAUGUUGUGAGUGGAUAAGUUAUUUUAGGAGAAGAUGGAGUUCUUAUGUAACAAAACCACGUUCUCCACUUUUCUUCUAUUUUUAUUAUGUUAAACAAAUUGAAGUGUUAUAAAAGGAAAGAACUUUGAGUUAUACAAAGAGUAGAAUUCUAUUGUAAUGAUACACUUCACUUUUUUAUUUUGGUGAGCAACGGGUGAUACUUGGCUCAUGGAAUUAAAUUUUUACAACAAUUUAAUUUUGGAAGAUUGUUGUAUCUUGAGAGAAGAACGUUGAUCAACUCUAUGCAAAGAGGGUCUAUUUUCUCUUAGGAGAGUGCAUCUACAUGCCUCGAUUAGGCUUUUCCAAAUCCUUAUCCUUUUUUGAUUUUAUUAUUAUUAUUAUUAUUAUUAUAUGAUAGUUUUGUAGGAAUAGAAAUUUGAGUAUAUCUGAAUGACUUUUCUUUUGUUGAAUCCUAAUUUGAUAUUAUCUCUAAUGGGAAUGACAAGAUGACAUUAUCUUAAGGAUUAGGAGUUGUAUCUCUUUUCUCUAUCUUUUAGGAUUUUUCUAUCAUACAAUAAAACAAUUCUUUUUUAUACAUGUAAAUAGCUAAAUUGAUUGAAUCCCAUUAAAACCUCACCUACCUAUAUGUAAAUUAACUUUGUGAAUUUAACAUCGAAGAUCUAAGCUUUUGCUAUUGCAACACUAACUUAUAAGAUUAAAGGUUUUGCAAUAAGAAAAGAAAAAGGAAGAAAGAAAGUAAAACAUUGUAUAUAACAUAUGGAGUAGUUGCAUAUUAGGGACUAGUUCUCCAAAUAAGUCUCAACCUAAGUUGCAAAAAAGUUAGAUUUUGCAUGUUUGAUGAUAGUUUAGUUGUUUUUGCAUUUCAUGCUCUUUAGAUUUUGUUUAGUGUUUUUAAGGCUUUUAGAACCUAUGAUCAUUUCAUGAAUAUAACAUACUCUAAAGCCAUAUUUAGUUGGUGGGAUACAACAUAAGAUAUGAUAAGAGAAGGGAUAACAUGUCGUUUUCUAUGUUUAAUUAGUAAUGGAAUUUGAUAAAUUAUCUAAACACUUAUUUUAUUAUAAGUUCAAUCAAAUAUGAAAUAUGAUUGGUGGUGGGGUAUAUAUAUUGUCCACAUUCUUUUUUAUAUCCCUUCUAUAUGAGAUAUGUAAAGCCUAAACUAAAAUAUAGGAUAUACACUAUGUAUCAUUAAUUAAUUAAUAAUUUUUUUAUUUUUUUAUAUUACUUAUUUUGUAAAAUAAUUUUUAAAUUAUUAAAAAAAUUAGUUUUGUGGUUAAAAAAGAAGAACUAAAAAUUAUUUAUAAAAUAUAAUUUAAAAUAAUACUAAUAUAUAUGUAUUAUUUAAUGAGCGUGUAUAUAUAUUGAAUAACCUAAUAUAAAAAAAUUUAUCUAUAAAGUUUAAAUAUUUUAAAUAUUGUUAAAUAUAAAAGAAAUUUCAUAUAUUUUUUUUUAAAUAGCAAAUAUUGAAAUGUAAUAUAAAUUUUAUUUUAAACAUUGAAAAAUAAUAUAUAUCCUAUUUUAUUUUUUUAUUCAUUUUACAAACUAAAUAUAAGUAUAACAUAUCUCAUUGGAUAAAUUAUAUUAAAAUAUUAUAUUCCAUUGGAAAUUAUACCCUAAAAUAUACAUUUUCUAUUCAAUGGGAUACGAGAUCUUAAUAUAUACAUAUUAUAUUCUAUCAUAUCCUGCCAACCAAACGCCUAAAUAUUUUUAGUGGUGUUAUAAUCAAUGAGGAAAAUGUCGGGAUAUAUCGGCGAUAUAUCGUGUAUUGGGAAAGGUCGACACGAUAUUUCAUGAAGAAAAAUCGAAGAGGAGAUAUUUCCGUAAAUAUCGCCAAAAUAUCGACGAUAUAUCGUAUCAGGGAGAUAUAUCGGAGAUUUUUUGAAAAAAGCGCCUUUGGUGACAAAAUAUCGGUGAUAUAUUGGCGAUAUAUCGGAGAUAUAUUAGAGAUAUAUCGCUGAUUUUUUGGCGAUAUUUCCCCUCCUUCAUGCAACGUGAUCUGAUGGCUCAGAUCACGCCCAUGUUGAUCCGACGGCCUAGAUGUGAUUCCAAUGAUAAUAUGGCGAUCCAACGGCCAGAUUGCUCCCAGUUUUUUAUCCAACGGCCAAAAUUGAUUUUCAAUGGUAAAUUAAUGUUCCAACGGCUAUUUUGGCCCAAAUUUCUUCUAUAAAUAGCCCAAAUUUCAUAUUUUUCAUCCAUUUUUGCUUUCAUUCUUCAUUUGCUCUCUCAUUACUCCAAUUUUUAUUAAGGUUGCUCAAUUAUUUAAUCAUUUUAAGGUAUAUUUGUUUUAAAUUAUAAUUAAUUUUGUUUGCAAUUGUAAUUAAUUUAUGUAUUUUCAAUUAAUUAGUAUGUUUGCAAUAUGGAUGAUUUAAUGCCAUUUUUAUAUUCAAUUGUAAUUAAUUUUUAUAUUUUUAUUGAAUUAACUUAGGUUAAUUUGAUUAUUUAAUUAUAAAUUGAUAUGUUUAUUUUAGAUGAUUAUUUGUGAUUUAUUUUCACAUUUAGAAUUAAAUUAAACUAGUUAACUUAGCUAAAUUAUUUAAUUAAUUUAAUUAACAUGUUAAAUUAUUUAAUUAAUUUAAUUAACAUGAACUAGUAUAUUUUGAAUAUGAAAUAUGUUUAUUUAAUGAAUUUAAUGUGUACAAAUUAUUGAUAUUUAAUGAAAUGAAGUAUUUUAUGUGAUUUUAUAAUGAGAACAAUUACAAAAUUAACAUUUCUUAUAGAUCGACAUGAUAUAAUUACAUCUAAUAUCGCAAAUUAUAUCAUAUAUAUAUGUCAAUUUUUUCAAUAAAACAACUUUAAAAUGUCAAUUAUACUUCUAAUUAUAUUAUUAUGAGGUUUUCUUUGCAUUUUUAUGAGUUUUUAACAAUUUUAAGUCUACCGAUAUUUUUUUCCAGAAUAUCCGCCGAUAUAUCUGUAAAAUCAAAAUACCGAUAUAUCUGUGAUUAUCGAUAUUUUCAUCAUUGGUUAUAAUAUAUACAUCAAUGAUUCUAACUAAAUUUAAAAAGUAAAACCUAUAUUAUGGUGAAUGCCAAGACAUGCACAAAAAUUACAUUUUCCUUUUCUCUCUAACUUCUUUUGAAAUAAGGAAUGGUGUUUCUUUACCAAGAAUAAAUUAAGAGAAAUAGUUAACUAUUUUUGCAUGUUAUAAUCAAUGUAUUUGAAAACUUCAUAAAUUACAUGACACAUGAAUAAAACUAGCAUCUUUAGCUAAUUUCCUAGAUAGUCGCAACCAAAAAAGCAAAAACAAAUAGAAUAAAACAAAAAGAAGAAUACUAUCAAAGACAAUACCCAUAUAGAGACCUCCAAAAGGCAUGUCCAACAAAUUUUCUUUCUUUCUUUGCCUUUAGCAAUUAAAUGAAACAACUUUCAAUGUCUAACAGUUGCAACCAUCCCAUUCAGCAUCAUUUUCUACAGUUGGAAAUUGUAAAAUGAAGUUUUUGGAUCAGAGAAUUCUCACCUAUCUGUUUGGUAGGUGAUGAAUGCAUGUUAAAGAAUUAUUCAUUUUUGUAUUAAUUUACUAUUUUUUUCAUAAUUUUUUCCCCUUCAAUCAUUACCACAUAAAAGUAAUUGACAAAAAAAUAAUAAUAACAAAUUAAAAAAAUUAUUUGAUUAAAAGGAACGAAAUAAUCCUUAAAUUGUGAAUUUAACCCUUCCCAUAUUUUUUCUUGAAAAGUAACUCAUUUUUUUACAUAAACGUCAUUUGUCAUUUUAAGUUUUUAUGUGUAGAUUUUAAAAGAAAUGGUUAUUUUUAUAAUAAUAAUAAUAAUAAUAAUAAUAAUAAUAAUAAUAAUAAUAAUAAUAAUGAAAGCAUUUUUUUGUCCAAAUGAGGUCAAAAAAUGAUGGAAGAUUAAAUUUCAAAUUUUGGAUUUUUAAAUACCCUUUUAAUCAAAUAAGCCAAAAAAAAGUGAUUCAAAUUCAAUUUUUUUUUUUCUUUUAAUAUCUAUAUAUAUAUAAUGAAAUUCAAUGAUAAGGAAUAAUGGUAGAAAAAAGAAAUCAGCCUGUCAAUUUCUUUAAACAAAAUACAAAACGUCACGUUUCCUAUCUUAGCAGGUCUUAAUAUUAGAAUGUAAUAUAAUGCAUCUUUAAAAAAAAAAAAAAAGCAUAUUCUGAAACAAAGUCAGAAAUUUGAGAAUAGUUGGAGAAGGGAGACCAGCGAGAAGAUUCGAAGCUGUUGACAUGCUUGUUCCCAAAGAAAUUGGUUGUAUAUAUACGUAUAUUGAAAAGGUCAACAUUCCCCAUAUACCGAUCAUUCAGAGCAUCAACCGUAAUUCACGCUUCUUCUAUCAACCAAGCCAUCAUCUGUCUCCCCCUCCUUCAUAUACCUUUCAUUUAGAGCAUUCAAUCCUUUGGUUUCUUCACAGCUUCCUCUUCUUUAAUGAAUUUUUUCUGAUCAAGGUAUGCUUGGUUACAUCUUGUUUUCAGUCAAUCUUUUGAUACCAUAUAUCUUAUGUUAAUUUCAUUGUUUGGCUAUGUUGGAAAUAUUUUCUUUAUUGUUUCUUAGUUCAUAUCAAUUGAAGAUUAAUUUAUAUGAAACCCCUCAAUGAAAAGAUGGGUGUAGUGGAUUCCCUUUGGUAUCAUUUUGGUGGAUUAAAUGGCUAAGAUCAUUCAAAAAGUUGUUCUUUUGGUAUCAUUUUUGAGUACUUGAAAAGAGAGGAAUCCAUGGUUUGAUGAGUUCCAUUAAUUAUUGUUGUCAUCUGCUGGGUGCAGACUGGUAAAAGCUUCAAUAAUUUAUGGCUACAAAGGGAAAGGAUGUUGGCUCGGCAGGGAAGGAGAAGAGGGGCACAUCCCCUUCAAAGCCUCUUCAAAGUGGCAGCACCCUCACUAAAAGAUGUCCCAAGCCAUCCAACCCUGACUCUACUGAUAAAGAUCUUUCAUCUGCAUCCCAAAAACAAAUUCCAAGCUAUCUCAGGCCUACCAUAAGCUCACAGAAUAUUAAGAAAGAAGACUGCACCCUUGGCCCCUCUGUCCACAGAAGAAGAUCCUUUGACAAGCCUCCAUCCCCUUCUCAAAUACAGAAAGCACUUCUCUCUCCCAGUGGUAGAGAUAGAGCAGUUAGAUCUUCUUCUGUGACACCAGCUAAGCCCACUACUGCACCAAAGCCAAUCUCAGAUAGGACCUCAAAGACACCUAGGGUGGUAAAGUCUCAGACAUCGGUAAUAAAAUCAGCAAGCACAAAGAAGACCUCCAGUAACCCACCCACCAAGAAAGAAGCCAGUGCCUCAUCAGCCUCAGCGAAAAAAGCUCCAACCGUUGCUGAUACAGCUGAAAAACUCAACAAUGAAUCCGAACAAGAAGAUCAGGAAUCGUUGGUUCAUGUUGUUCAAGAAGUGGAAGUGAAGGAUAUUGAUAAUGGGGUAGAAAUCCCCUCAGAUUCAUCACAUUUUGAUGUUGAAAAUAGUACUGAACCUGACAGUGAUCAAGAUGAGAAGCUCAAGCCUUGUGAAACUUCUACAGUUCCAGAAAAUCAAGAUUCAUCUACAGCAGCCGGCCCUGAAGAAAGCACUGAAGAUAAAAUUGAUGACCAAGAAAGUAAAGAUGAAAUCAAUAGCAGUCAGCCAGAAGAAAACUCUGCAGGUGAGCCUAAGGUAGAAGCCCAAGACAAGCAAGGGGAGGAGGAUGCAACUGAAAAUCCCAUUACAAAGGAAGGGGAUGCACCAUCUACUGAAGAUUCUGGAGAUGAUCAGAACAAGAACAAGGUUGAGGAGCAAGAGGGUGAUGAAGGAAGCCAGAAACAUGCUGAUGAGGGAAAGCAGGAGCAUGUAAAUGAGGAAAGACAGAAACAUGUUGUUGAGGAACAGAAGCCAGAAGCAGAAAAUGUGGCAUCGAAGCGACAAUCAGCUAACGGGAAGAAGGAUUCUCAGGUUUACAAUGAAGUUAUUGAGGAGACUGCAAGUAAGCUUCUGGAGAAGAGGAAAAACAAAGUGAGAGCACUGGUUGGGGCCUUUGAGACAGUCAUAUCCUUGCAAGAGCCUGAGGCUGAACAUUGAAGUGAAACGACUUCACUUGGAAUCAACUUAUCCUCCUCAGCUAAUUAACAUGGAUAUAUGGUUUUUAAUGUGAGAUUUGAUGAGGAACUUUGGUUUGAAAGACAUUUCUAUCAAAUUUGUGCGAUAUCAGACUUCCAGGAUGAAAAUCUUUCCAAUAAUGAUGUCAUGUGGAUGUGGAGGAUGCCAUAUUAUACAUGUUCGUUAACUUUCCCUGCAAUCAGUUUUUUUGUGUUGUAUUAACCACAUUCUAAUACACGAUUGGAACAUAUAGUAAUCUUCAAAACCUUCUAUUUCUUUUCUUACGCUUUCCCUUCUGUCAUGUCCUUCCUUUUAAUAAUGGAUGUGGUUUCCUGAUAACAGCAGGGAUAUAGUUUGAUGGUUGAUCAAAUGACAUCUACAGCUCUUGUAAUUUCUUGUGAAAAUAAAGGUAUUUAUGCCAUAUGUAUAUGUUCGAAGAAGAAAAUGGGUGAAAUGGUUUGAAGGACAAAACAUUAAAUAAAAUUUGGCUAGCUUGUGUUGGACCCAAGGCUUUGGCUAUAUCAUUUUGGAACUAAUUAUGUGAGGGUUUGAAACGUCCAUCUAUGAUGACAGAUUUCAUAUUUUGCUACCAUAGUUUUUUUUAUGAAUGAAGUUGUCAAUAUUCAUGGUAAAAAAAAAGGGUUAUUUGGUUGAAGGGGUCAAAAUAACCCCCAUAUUUGUAAGAAUAACCCAUCCCUUAAAAGGUACAAAAAAAAGACCCAAUUGAGACAAAAAUACCCCUCAUUUUUCCCUCCAAGACCACUUUACUUUUCCCUCUAUUUUUUAGCAUAUUAAGUUUUUAUUUUUAUUUUUUAUUUGGUCAUCUGAUUGCUCUUUCUCUUUGUCUACUUGUAGAGAAAAAGUCUGAGUUCUUGUCAUUGUUUCAUCUAUUCUUUAUUCUUUGUCACGAAAAGAUGUUAAAAAUGUAAGCAACCAACAAUUUUUUUUUAUAUAUAUCAUUAUAUUAUUUCUUUCUAUUUCUUGAAAAUUUAAAACCUCUACCAUUAUAGGUAGAAAACAAAGGCUCCACUAUCACUUAUAUCUUUACACUCAAAGUCUAUAUAUCCUAUUGGAAAUAACAAUGAUUGAGUAAUUCUGAAAGACAUCCGCUGUAGAGUUGUGCUACCACCAAAAAGUCGACGACUAACAGAAAUACCAAAAAAUGAGAGAAUUCGUUCAGGUGGAAAGGUUAAGCGCACAUGGUGUUGUGGUGAUUAUGGGCACAAUAGAAAAACAUGCAAAUGACCAAUCCCAUUACAUCCUAGAGGUGAACAUAGUUGUGUCAAUAUUGUUGAUUAAUAUCAACAUCCAAGAAUUCUCUUUACAACUAGUUUAUCAGUCACUUUAAUAAUGUCACCAUAGAAUUUCUCUCUUAAGGAUGAUUUAGUCAUGUAUCUACUCGUUUAUAUAUAUAGGGGCAUGAUGGAUUGAAAUUUUUUUGUAUAUGCUUAAAGCAUUUUCUUUUAAUGAUGGAUUGAAAUUUUAAGUUAAUGUUUUAGCUUUAUCAUAUAAAUUAAUUGGUUAAAUUUAGUUAUGGUUAAGUUGAUAGUCAUUAUUAACAUGAACUUAAUUAUGAUUGAGUUGCAUUAACAAAGAACUUAACUAUAGUUAGGUUCACAGUCAUAAUAAGUUCACAAUUAGAAUUUUCACCUGAACUUAACAGUGGUUGAGUUGCAUUAACAAAGAACUUAACUAUGGUUAAGUUUACAGUCAAAAUUUUCAUCUGAACUUAAUAGUGGUUCAGUUGUAUUAAUAAAGAACUUAACUAUGGUUAAGUUCCUAGUCAAAAAUUUCACUUGAACUUGGUUAAGUUCAUAGUUAGCAUUUUUACUUGAACUUAACAAUUGUUGAAUUGCAUUAACAAAUAACUUAACUAUGGUUAAGUUGACAGUUUUAGUUACAUUACAAAAAUUGUAACUUUGAGCAUCAAGUCAAAUUCAUCCGAAAUAACAAUCAUCUCUCAACAAUAUAUAAACCUAUUAGAUAGUCAAAUUCAAACCCACUACAUGGGUAAAAUUUUGAAGUAGAAUAAUUCAAUUGUCAUUUUCUCUUGAAACUAAUCAAUACGAGUACCGGUCAAUGAGUUGAAUGGAUGAUCAUGCAUGCCUUAUAAUUGAUCCUUCAACUCGUCAAGUUGUCUUAUAAGCAUGGCUUGAUCAUGUCCAAAGUUCUCAACUCUAUUACCUCCAUCUAAGGAACCACUACCAUCCCUCAAUGGCUCUCCAUAACCAUAAUUUGAUGGUCUCCCAUCUGAGUAGAUAGAUUGCAAAUAUCUCAUACCUCCUCCAAUAUUCGUUCUUGGGUUUCUCCGAAACCCCUCCACCUCACCUCUCUCCCCAAACUGCCAAUCAGAACUUUGCUCUGAUCUUCAGGAUGUGCUUGCAUUUUGGACAUGAGACUUCAAUUCCCCAAUUUCCUUUUCCAUCUUUAUACCACCCAAUUCAUCUCUAUUUAUGUUCAUAUCAAGAGCAGUCUCAACAACUCAUUUAUCAGCUCUAUCCUUAGAAUGAUCUCGACUUUUCUCAACAUCUGAACCAUUUUUACCAAAAUUCAAAGAACAAGCAUUUGACUUGACAUCUGCAUAUAUCACCCGAGUUAUUGAAAUUCUCUAUUUCAUUUUCCAAUAAAUUCUUAGAUUUCAAGGAAACUCUUUCAACCCUUUCUUCAUUGGAUGUCUCUAAUGAAGUGUCUGUGCCAAAUUUUCUAUUCUUUUUCCCUGUAAAUUAAAAUAAAAAACAAUCAAACCCUUAAAUUGUUGAAAAAACCUCUCAACACUUCGUUUGUUUCUCCAAAAAAUGGUUGAAAGGAAAAAAAAAAAAAAAAAAAACACUAAACUCUAGGCCUCACAUUUUACAUUAUUUUGAUUUCAAAAGAAUGAAAAACAAAAGAGAAAAAAAAAAACAUCCCUACCAAAUAGUUGAAUUAGCAAAUGACACAAAAAGAAUUCAAGAUCGAUUUUGAUUCAUUUUCUUCUCUAGUAAAUUUUCUCAGCAACCAAAUAAUGGUAAAGGAGAAACAGAGAGUGAAAUAAAUUGAACAAAACACCUCUAAAACUCUAUUUAUUUGAAGAGAAAACAUAUGAUACUAAAGAAAUUGAAUCAUCUUGUCUCAACCGAGCCAAAUAGUUGCAUCAGUAAAUGGCAAGCAAAUGAUUCAAUAAUUUGACUACUGCUCUUUCCCAUUAUUUUCUCCUCAACCAAACAGAGGUUAGAAAGAAAAAUCAGCAAUAGAAUUGAAGAAACUGUAAAAUUUGACCCACCCCAAUAAUUGCUUGGGCAAACGACACCCAAAUAAUUCAAGAUCUCUAAUUUUUUUUUCAAAGUAUUUAAAGCAUGUGCAUGGCCCCCAUUAAUUAUAAUCAUUAAUACUCAAUUUUUAAACCAAAAUUUUACAUUUUAAUUUUCUGUCUAAAACCAAAAUACUUGUAAAAAAUAUUUUCAAAACAACAUCCACUAUGUUUUUGGACACAUUUAUAUUUUUACUUUUAUUAAAAACAAACAAGUUUUAUAAUACUGUAAUAAGAGUAAUAUAUUUUUUUCAUAAUUUUUUUUUCUAAUUUUAAAUUGAUAAAUCAUGUUUUUGUAUUGAGAUUGAGGAAGAUAAAAUGUUUAAUUUUUUAUUUGGAUUGUCUAAAAGAAUUAGAAAAUGAUGAAGAAUGUUUAAUCAUUUUUGUUUUUUUAUAAUAAAAUAAUGGAUUUAUUACACUUUACCUCCCAACCUAUACCGUGUUUUGCAUAUUGCCCCAUUGAGUUCAAAAUCGAGCAAUGUACUUUUCAUCCUUUAUUAUUGCAUGCAAUGUGCAUUUUUUGAGAGACGAUAUUAUUUUUUUUGGACGGAAAUACGUGUUUUCAACAUGAUUGAGGGCAAAACAGUCAUUUCAUUUCAAAACACCCAAAUCCCCAACCCAACCCUCUUCUUCCUCUUUCAAUCGUUGGCUGUAAUUUUCCUAGAAUUCUGGCAUAAGAAACUAGAAUUCCGACAAACAGGAUUACAAAUCUUAUAGUGAUUGGAACCAAACUCAAAAAAUUUUACCAAAAAAAUAACAAUAUUAUUAAAAAAAAUUGCUUCAACUAAUUCAAAUAGUCUUAGAUUCAAAAUCUAUAAAGGAAAAAAAAAUUGAUUGAUUUUCUUGCCAACCAAAUAAAGUGCAAAAACCCACAAAAACAACAAUAAUCAAACAAACUUACCACAACGACCAAAUCACAUGACAUAUGUAUACAACAAACUUAGGGUUGGGUUUCAUUUUUAUGUUAUGCUUUCGUUUUAGGGUUAAGGUUUUGUUUUGAUGUUUUAGAAAAUUGGGGAAAAAAAUCAAGCUGAACAUCGACCCAUGCUUUUAUAACAUGGAAUUUUCAGUAGAAAGGGAGAUGAGAGAGAAAGAGUGAAGAGAUAAGAAGAAGAAGAGGAAAAAGAAGAGGAAGAGGAAAGUUUAGAAACAUGUCACAUCAGCACCAUUUUCUUACAAUUUGCACUCCUUAAUAUGCUUUGGUUGCAAUUUGGGGAGGAGGAAAGAAGGAAGAGGAGGAGAACGAAGGCAAAGGAAGGCUCGGUUAGGGUUUUAAAAUGAAAUGACACUUUUACCCUUACUUAAAUAGGUCACGUGGAAAGCACAUGUGCUUUCCGCCCAAUUAAGAUAACAUCGUCACUCAAAAAAUGUACAUUGCAUGCAAUUAUAAAGCAUGAAUAACAAAUUACUUGACUUUAAACUUGAGAGGGCAAUGUGCAAAACAUGCUAUAGGUCUGAGGAUAAAGUGUAAUAAACCCUAAAAUAAUUUUUAAAAUUAUAUAAUUUUUAUAUUUCUUUUUUCCUUAACAUAAGGCUUUUUAUUAAGUUUUAUUUACACAUUUUUUUCCUUUUUUUCGAUGCAUUGAGUGGACAAUGUUAAUGUGUAUAAUGUGUUGGAUGUCAAUGAGGUAUACAAAAAGUUUCUCUAAUACCAUUAAUAUGGUUACAAAAUAUAGUUAUACAAAAAAUAAUAUUAUAAUUAUAAUAUAAAUAUACUUACAUUAUAAUACAUCAUAAUAAAACGUAACUAGGAAAAUUUUCAAUUUUUUUUUUAUGAAAUUGAUAAUUUUAUAUGAUCAUACUAUAUUCUCUAACAUACUUAUAUUAUAAACCAUCUUAGAAACCAAAUGAAGUACUAAUUUGAAUUUACAAGACUUACAAUUUUUUUUGUUUAAAAAUGAUUAAACAAUUUCAAUGCAUUGAGGGAAUGAUGUUAAUGUACUAGCAUGAUAUGUUAAUACCAAUGCCAACAAGGUACAAAUAGGCAUUUUCAAAAUUAUUAAUUUUUUCAUAAAAUAUAGGUGUGAUUAUAAUUACUUUAAUAUGAUCAAUGACAUGUUUUCCUUAAUGCCUUUCUUUUUUGAUAGUUCAAUGACAUCUCUUAAUAAUUUUUUUCUGAAAAUAAAGAUAUUUAUAUCAUAUAGAAAAUGGGUGAAAUGGUUUGGAGGACAUAAUAUUCAAUAAAAUUUGGAUAAAUUGUAUUGGACCCAAGGCUUUGGUUAUUUCAUUCUGAAACUAAUUGUCUAUGUGAGGGUUUGAAAUGAGCUUCAUCUACAACAAGAAGUUUCAUAUUUUGCUACCAUAGUUCUUUUAAGGUUGAAGUUUAUAUUCGUUGUAAAGAAAACUAUACACUACAAUAAAUAUGAGAUUUUGUCACUAAGUAAGUCAUGAUUAAAAUAUGAUAAUUCAUUAUAAAAGAAUUUUUGGGACAAAAAAGUUUUCAUGGGACUUCAUUGCUAUAAAGCCUAUGAUUAAUUAUUUUUUAUUAGGAAAACAAAGAUUCGUCACUAAAGAUAUUAUAUUACCACAAAGAACGAGUUUGUUUUUUUUUUUUACCCUAAAUAGUUUAUUUUUGUCAUCACAAAUAUUAUUCAUUUUUUUUUAUUUGUUGAUAAAAUUAAUUAGUGAUGGAUUUAUUGCAACAAUCCCACGAUGAAAUUUUUUUGUAUCAAAAACAUACUUGAUACAAAAACCCAACUUGUUACCAUAAAAACAUAUAUUACGAAACAUCCUAUUUGUUGCAAUCAUUUAAGAAUAUUUGUUUUUAAACUUAUUACUAUAAAGUUUGUUUAUUUUAAUAAUAAUAAUAAUAAAAAUAAAUUAUUAUUAUUAUUAUAAGAAAAAAUUCAUUACUAUCACUAUUAAAAGGAAAAUCCUAAAAAUUAUUUAUCAAUUGAACUUAUUUAUUAAGUAUAAAAAAAUUAUAAAUUCCACUCAUCACGUUUUGUUGUCAAUUGAAAAGUGAGAGUUAUUCAAUUAAUAGAUUAAUUCGCUUUUGAUAAAAAAAAAAAAAAAAAAAAAGUCUUCAAGAUACACUUCAUGCUUUUUAUUUUUAAAAUAAAAAAACCUCUAUACAAAAGCUAAAUAUUUUGUAUAAAAAGUAUAUAUUUGCCUUAUAUUUUUAAGAAUUAUUUUCAAAAUUCUCAAACUUUGAGAUAGUAGAAAAAAUUUUAUUCUUUAAUUUUUUUAAAAUAAUUUUUAAAAUCAUUAUUUUUUUAAAUAAUUUUUAAAAUCAUUAUUUUUUUAAAUAAUUUUUAAAAUCAUUACUUUUUUAAUAUAAAUCUCUAAAAGUUCCAAUGUCUUAUAUAAAAACUAUUAAUUUUUUUUUUUAAUUUUAAAAACAGAGAACAUGAUAUGUAUCAAAAUGGACACUGGGUCAGUUCUUACAUCAAACAUAGUAGUAAUCUUUGGUUUGUCUGUGGAGUUCUAUAAAUAAGAAUGAAGAUUUCUUUGUUCGGUGUACAAUUAGUAUCAAAUUGACGGUGACUUUAUCAUUAUUAGCAGCAGCAGCAGCAGUAGUAGUAGUAGUAGUAGUAGUAGUAGUAGAGAUUCGUGAUCUGAGUAAAGGUUCUACUAAGGAAUUUUGUUUCCUUUCUAAAACUUGGGUCUUUAAAAUUGUUGGCCAACUUCAGAAUGUCAACAGUACCAGUGUAGCAUAUAGUGAAAACAGUCAUCCUGCAACUUCAGAAUCCCCUUAUUUUUGUUCUGUACUUUUUUUUUCUAGAAAGAUCGGCCCUGAUGUUCAUGGGAAACUGCAAAUAUUUUGUGCUCCGAAUGUCGAAUAUUGUGUUUGUAUUCAAUUCCAAGCCCUGUGACAUGUGUUUGUGGUUAGUUUUGCUACCCCAGCAGAGUUUCAUCGAGAUUUCACAACACCCUUGAUGGAGUUGUUUAUGGCAGAAGCUUUAGCUGUGUUCUAUGAGUCAGAAGCUUUAAUUCCUGCAUCAGCAAAAUAAUAUUAGCUAGCAUCAAUGAAGGGUUUUUAAAACAGGUAGUAACUACUGGUUGUGGAACUGUGUUUCUCUUGGUUCCAUACCAGUUGAAGUUGCAAUCCAACAUCUAGGUCCAGACCAUUACAGAUAUUAGAGCCAUCACAACACAAUUGAUGAUUUAUUAUUUAAUAUUACUUCUGGGGUUUUACUAUCGAUUACUAAAAUAUCUAGUAUUUUAAAAGAAUGCAUUAAAAGUUGUAAAAAAAAAAAAAAGCAUACCAAAGUACACAUGACGUACGCAAUGACCACCAAAAGAUGGCAAAAAAGGAAAGGGAUAAACAAAAAAACUACUUGCUACCUUAAUGAGAACUCAACCAAUCAAAAUGAAAGUCACACAAGGACAUUGGGCCUUCAGUUAUGUACAACUUUGUUCAAGAUAACAAGUCAUUAAGAAACAAGCUUUUAAGUCAUUGGUUAGAGAGCUCCUCAUUUUCAAAUGAUCUAUUUCUCUCCUUCCAAAUUGUCUAAAAGAGGCGCAAAGGGGUUGCUCCACACACCUUUUUAUAUUUCCUUUCAAUGAAGGAUCCACACCAUCCUAAUGAGGUCUCUCUUACUGAGGAAGAUAACAUCCAAGAUACACCAAAAAAAGGGAACAAAAGCUAACACAAAACCCUCGCCUUACCACAAUGUAGCAGAAUGUGGUCAAUCGACUUUUAGAUAUGACAAAGGAAGCAUCAAUUAGUCAACAAACCCCCUCUCUGAAGCUGAUCUAAGGUCAAAGUUUUACCCCACAACACCUCCCAAACAAAAAAACUCACCUUAGGUGGAACCCAAGAGUUUCAAACAACAUCUACUAGGAAAGGGGCUGAACUCCCAAGCUCUAAGAAAGCAUAAAGGGACUUCACAGAGAAAGAACCACUCUUUGUCUUCAACCAGAUCACCUUAACUUUUCCUUCCCCAUUCACCACCUUUUCUUGAAGCCUCGAUAGGAAUCACUUCACAAUCUCAAUCUCUCAAUCAUUUAGAUGCCUAGAGAAGCUAGGAGUCCAACAACAUCCAACAUUAGGUUGAUUCCAUAUAUCUGAGAGAAACACACAACAGUUCAUUACCACACUACUUAUCCUUCCAAAACUUUACCUUCCCCCCCAUUGCUCACAGAAAAGGAGACUCUACCAUUAAUAAUCACCCAUAAUUUCCUUACGGCUUUCCACAACCCAAGCUCAUACCUAUCACUCACUUCAUUAGAACAAACAAACCCCCCCACCCCCCACUUCAACUUCCCCAUAUUUUCCACUUAUAAUUUGCUUCCAAAAUGCCUCCCUUUCCAUUGCAAACCGUCACAUGCACUUGCUAAGAAGAGCCUUGUUGAGCAAAGAAAGACAUCUAACUCCCAAGCCCCUUUUUCUCUAAUCUGAGCCAAACAAGAGCCCACUUCACUAAAUGGGGCUUUCUUUCUAAGUUCCCUCCACCCAUUGGAAAUUCCUUUGAAUCCAUUCCAACCUCAAACUCAAUUUCCUCAGCAUCCAGAAUAAAGACAUAAAGUAGGUAGGCAAAUUGAAUAAAGUGCUCUGAAUCAGUGUGACUCUCCCCCCUUUGGAAAUAUACUAUGUGUCCCCUCCCAUUUGUUUAUAAUUAAAAGUGAGGCUAUCCUCAAAGGAAAGGAAUAAGGGUGGAGACUGCAAACAAUCAGACUCCAGGGUGACUAUUGGAGCAAUGAUCUGCCUCUCAACAACUUGUAAGAAAACUGCACCAAGGGGUAGUAUCUAGAAAGGAAUCAUGGUAAGCGGUAUAGAACACUGUUUUUACGGAAUCUUGAAAAAUAGGAGGUUAAUUCCUCAUGAACUUGUUGGAAUGGCUAUACUAAUUCAUCUUGGUUCAUGAGAAGAAGGUUAGCAGGAGGUCGCCAUGAGCCCUUGGUAGGAUAUCAUUCUCUAAAAAAUUAUAUUACCUAUCCAUGAUUAAUAAUAAAAGUGCACUGCUGUGUUAGGGUGUCUGUCUUUGCAUCUAUGUGGACUUCCUGGAGAGGCAGAUAAUCAGACACUUGAUUUGUACUUUCUAGUCUUAUAAGAGUCAUGUGAAUUUUGCUGCUUUUGCUUGACGCUUAGUGUGAAUUCCAAACCAUGUGCCUACAAGCAUAGUAUGCAUUGUGAUUUUUUCUGCUGGCUAGUAGAUCAACAUGAGGACCACCUAGGGAUAGGAAGCUGAAGAACAACCCACCACCCAGUUUAAGUGGCCUGCAGAGGGCUAAUGGCAGUUUAGCUUGUGAGGUUGAGCAGCACAAUAUUUCUAUGACUCUGCAUUUGAGCUCUGUGCCUUCUCAAGGCAGCUUGUUUGAGUUUUCAUCCACCACCUAUUAGUGGAUCCUCAUGAGGCUGUAUUGCAAUGCUUAUGGGUUAACAACUGAGGAUGGUUGAGGAAGAGUACAACAAGUACAUCUAGAAUGAGAUGCCCAGCAGAGGUCUCAUCAGCCUGGCAUUGGUUUGCAGGGAAAAGUAACAAAUCAAAAGCAAGGUUGACUCGGUGUCAGAUAAGCUGUUCCAUGUCAACAGGUGGUGCAACCACAAGGUGCCAUAUGAAAUGCUAGAGGUUGCUACAAGUGCAGCAAACUUAGACACUCACCCAUGGAAAGAGGGAGGACUACUACUGCCAUAAAGGCUAAAAUGACUCCACAGACCUACGUAUUAGCAAUUUCAAUGUCAACAGUGGUCUUAAUUGCACGAGACAACACUGAUGGUUGUAGAGGAGCAACACAUGGAGGAGCCUGUGCUUUGACUCAGUAGAACACAGAGGCAAUCUCAUCUGUUGUGGCAGGUAGUUUACCAGUGUAAGCUUGAGUAGCUAGAGCAAUGACUCUGGCACUAUGCAUUGAUUUGUAUCUUGUGUUUUCUCUAUGCAUGCCUAUGUGUUUGAGUUAUAAGUAAUGUAUUUGCAUUCAGAUAAGGGAUUCUGUGAUUUUAGCUUGUCAUCACUCUUGUAAUGUUCCAAUUGGUGAGCAGGAGUUGCUCACAGAAUCUGUGCUGGCAAACAUACAUGGACUGGUUGGCUUCAUAUCAUGUUCCAGAAGCAGCUGAUGUUUCAGAUACCUGGUCAUAUAUAAUUUGGUGUUGAAGUUUUUUUUGGGAUUUUGUCCUUGUAUGAAAAAAUUGACAGUUCUGCUACUAAAAGGUUGACAUAUGAUAUAAUUGACUAUUCUGCUACAAAAUGGUUGACAUCCUAUCCAAUCCCAACAACUUCAGUUGAUUAUUUUUGCUUCACAGCAUUGAUUGUGAGAUGAGUUUGGGGGUUUUCAUUGCAUACAUGGUUCCAAAAUUUAUUUUUCUAAAUGCUUCAAAAAAUGAUUUAUGAGUAAUGGCUUGAAAGAAAAGCUGUCAACAGAGUGACUAUAAAUUAAUUUCAAGCAAAAUUAGGCUUGACAAAUCAAUUCAAGCUUAAUUUGACUCAAUUACAGUUUCCAGCUUAACAGGGUCUAUAAAUACCCCAUUAAACCCUUCAUGUUUCAAGGGAAAGGUACAAGGAAUAGAUUUUUCAUCUUUGUUACUUCUAGUUUCAAAAUUUUGAGUAGAGUGUUUGUGAUGUAGGACAACCCUAGGAUGGUUGCCUACACUCAAGGGUAGGUGGGCUAGGGUUUUAUUUUUAGGGUGUAAGGAGAGGAAUAAGGAAUAAACUUUAUGGUAGAGAAAAUUAUAAGAUAAGAAAUAGAGAGAAAGAAGAAACAAUGAAGAAAAGAUGGAAAACCUUAGAGUCUCACUAAGGCCUUCUAGGAAUCUCACCUAGAAGAAAAAAAUCAAUGGAGUCUCACCAUUGAGGGUUGCAACCUUGCAAUAAAAGAAAGUAUAAUAUUAUUCAUCAAAUUCAUCCCUUUGAUUUACAUUGAUUAACCUAUUUAUAGGCUUCUCUAAGAAAUCCAAAGUCUACUAGGACUCUAAUAACCUAUUAUGAUUCUAAUUCUAAUUAUAACAUCCAAAGUCUACUAGGACUCUAAUAACCUAUCAUGACUCAAAUUCUAAUUAUAUUAUAACUCAACUAGCUAAUCCUAAUUAGACUCCAACAAAUACCAAUCUCUAUUCAAUUCUAAUUAAUAUUAAUCCUACUUAAAGUUUACUUAGGUCUUCCCUUUCUUCCUUGAAUAAACUUUAAAAGGCUUUCCCCCAUCAAUUCUCCCCGGCUUGAAAGAACUCGGCUCCGACGAGUUAGAUGCUUGAUACAAUUCAUAGAGAUUGGGGUUAAUCUUCUGAAAAUCCGUUGUCGUAAUCCAUGUAUUCUCAGAAUGUGGUUUGCCUCGCCAUUUCACCAAAAAAUUUUGGUAUCCACCUUGUCGAGUAGACACAAGUUGAUCAUCAAGAACAUACUCGAUCUCAGGACGUGGGCUAAGAGUAGGUGGUAAUUGAAGAUCCAACUUUUCACUUACAUCGUUGUGAUGGCCAUGGUAGAUAUACAAAUCUUCCACAUUAAAUAUUGGACUAAAAUGCAAGUUUGAAGGGAGCUCUAACAAAUAAGCAUUCUCACCCAACCACUUUAGUACCCGAAAUGGACCCGCUUUCUUAGCUUGAAGCUUUUGAUAUGUGCUCGGAUGAAAUCUUUCUGGUCGUAAACGAGCCAUCACUAGAUCACCUUCUUGAAACUGAAUAUAUCUUCGAUGUGCAUCUGCUGCCUCUUUAUAGUUCUCAUUGCUAAUUUUGAUUUUUUCUCGUACCUUUUCAUGUAUAUCUCGUAUAUGACGUGCAAAUGCAUCACCAUCUUGGCUGGUGCGGACAGAAGUAGAUAAUGGUAUAAGAUCAAUAGGUUGCUUAGGUUUCAGCCCAUAUGCCACUUCAAAAGGUGAGUGCCCAAUAGUACGAUUAGUGGAGCUAUUGAAAGCAAAUUCGGCUUGUGGUAAGACAUUAUCCCAAUUUCUCAAUUGAUCUCUCACAAUGCAUCUCAAAAGAUUACCAAGACUGCGAUUGACAACUUCUGUUUGUCCAUCAGUUUGAGGAUGAAAAGAACUUGAAAAUUUUAAUUGAGCACCUAGCUUGGCCCACAAGGUUUUCCAAAAAUAGCUCAUAAAGUUGACAUCACGAUAAAAAACAAUGGAUUGUGGUAAUCCAUGCAAUCGAACUACUUCUUUAAAGAAUAAGGCAGCAACAUAAGAAGCAUCUGAAGCCUUCUUACAUGGGAUAAAAUGUGUCAUUUUGGAAAAUCUAUCAACCACAACAAAUAUAGAAUCAAAGCCCCGUUGUGCCCUUGGUAAUCCAAGUACAAAAUCCAUGCUCAAGUCUUCCCAAGGUUUGGAUGGAAUUGGUAAUGGCGUAUAUAACCCCGUAUUUUGCUUUGAACAUUUUCCUACUUGACAUGCUCGACAUUAUUUGAUAACCUUCCAAACAUCCUUCUUUGGUGUAAGUAGGGCAGGAACUCCACAAGGACUUAGGCUUUUUUGGUAAUGAUGCAUCAGGAAUCAAAUCAAUGGCAUGUUGUACGUCACGCAUAGGAGGGGGUUGAUUAGGUAACUCUGCAGGCCACAAGUCAGAAAAGUCAUCAAGGAUUUUACGUACGUUUGCUACAUAUUCCUUAUCUUGUUCUUUAAAUUCUUCCACUUUCUGAGCCAUUAAAGCAAAAAUAACUUUAGUUUCCUUUCUCUCAUUUUCAAAUUAACACAUAGUAAGUACCUUUUUUGGUUGUGCAUUCUCAUCUGACUUCUUAAUUGGAGGGACUUCUUUCAUUGGACGAAGGAUCUUCUUACGUCCGUUGUGUAUGAGAGCAUAUGUAUUUUCAUAGCCGUCAUGUUGAACUCUUCUAUCAAAGAACCAAGGUCUUCCAAGUAAAAUAUGACUUACUUUAAUGGGUAAGACCUCACACCAUACAGACUCUUCAAAGUCCUUACCAAAAAGGAAUGUUACUAAACAACGAAAACUUACCGGGAUAGAGGUGUCAUUAACCCAUGCUACUCUGAAUGGAUUUGGAUGUCUCUCUGUUUUAAGGUUUAGCUUCUCAACAAGUUCUUGUGAAGCUAUGUUCAAACUGCUAUCUCCAUCAAUGAUCAUGGUGCAUAAUCUCCCUUAGCAAGAAAUAUGUGUUUGGAAAAUGCUAGUACGUCGCCAAUCUUCUUCUCCUUUUACUUUUGGAACGGUUAAUAAAGGUCGCACUACAAGACUAUGUCCUUCCGUCAUACCAUCAUAGUAGCCACAUUCUUCACUAACUUCAUCUUCAUUGUAGGUCUCUUCUUCCUUUGGAUAACUUUCCAAUUCAGAUUCUGGUUCUUCAACACAAAAGUGUAAACUUUUGGUUGGGCAUACAACAGCAUAAUGACCAUGCCCACCACACUUAAAGCAUAAAGGAGUCACGUCUACUUUUCUAUCUCCAUUACUCAUUGAAUUUUUACCCUUAUUACCAUUCUUAUAAGCCACAUUCGAAGUUUGUUGAGUGUUGCCGCCACCAUUCACAUGAUUAAGAGUUCUGAAGUUUGAUGUGCUUAAAGGUUUGCUUGCUGUCCUAUUGGAGAAAGUGCUCCCAAUUUGUGAACUUGGACGCUUGGAAACUCGGAAUUUGAUGCCUUCUUUUAUUUUGAGGGCUAGUUGAUAAACGUCAUCUACGGUAUAAGUGUGUGUAGCUAUCAUCUCAAGUUGAAUCUCCAUUCGAAGUCCAGCUUUGUAGCGGGCUGCAAGUUGAGCAUCACUUUCCCGCACUUGAUUUCGAAUGCUCAAUUCAUGGAAUUCUUCUGUAUAUUCUUCAACGGACUUGGUACCUUGUUUAAGGGAAAACAAUUUUGUAUACAUAAGUUGUUCAUAAUCAGUUGGGAGAAAGUGCUCCUUCAUCUUCAACUUCAUCUCGUCCCAUGUGUCAAUAGGCGGUUGGCCAGUUCUAUGAGCUUGAUUCUCAAUAUUAUGCCACCAUAGACGUGCUGCUCCUUUCAACUUUGCCUUCACAAAACGAACUUUUCUAUUUUCGGGCAUUGCAUACUAAUCAAAGUAAUCUUCCAUUGACAUAAUCCAAUCAAGAAAAGUUGUUGGAUUUAGUUUUCCAUAAAAUUCAGCAACUUCAAGACGUACCUUUUUUGUCACAUCAUCAUCUAGCUCAAAAAGUUUGGCCCUUCUUUGAUUCCCCAUCAUAAAAUUGUCUUGUUUUUCGCGUGAUCGACUUGGCGAUUGUCUAAAUUGAUGACUUGCGAUCUCCUCUUCAAUUGGUCAUUUUUCUUGGCUCUUUUUUAAUAACUUCAUGAUCUUAUUAAGUUUGCUAUUUAGUUGUAUUAUAGCAUCUUGAUGGGAUUGUUGUGUGGCUGAAAUUUCCUCCAAGCGUAUUGUAGCGGCAUCUUGAUUGCUAGAAGUUUUUUUGGAACUCAUGCUUGCAUAAGUUGCUCCGCUCCUUAAUUGCAUAUGCCUUCAAGCCAAGAAUUUUGGCUCUGAUACCAAAAUUAAUGUAGGACAACCCUAGGAUAGUUGCCUACACUCAAGGGUAGGUGGGCUAGGGUUUUAUUUUUAGGGUGUAAGGAGAGGAACAAGGAAUAAACUUUAUGGUAGAGAAAAUUAUAAGAUAAGAAAUAGAGAGAAAGAAGAAACAAAGAAGAAAAGAUGGAAAACCUUAGAGUCUCACUAAGGCCUUCUAGGAGUCUCACCUAGAAGAAAAAAAUCAAUGGAGUCUCACCAUUGAGGGUUGCAACCUUGCAAUAAAAGAAAGUAUAAUAUUAUUCAUCAAAUUCAUCCCUUUGAUUUACAUUGAUUAGCCUAUUUAUAGGCUUCUCUAAGAAAUCUAAAGUUUACUAGGAACUGCUCAAUAAAGUGCUAAAAACAAAGUGACAGAUCCCUUGAUGAGAACCCAGAAACUGAGAUAAAUAUGAUUUAAACACAUGGUAUCACAAUGUACCUACAGCCUAUAUUUUUUUCACACCUGCUAUCAGGGUGUAUAUGGUUCAAGGAAUUGGUUGAAUUGGGGGAACAUAAUGCAUUUGGGCCUUGAUUUCAUUUCGUAAAUUUGCAUGAAAGCAUCUAAUUGGAACCCAAAAUCCAUCCCAAAUCCAAGCUUUCAUUUUUAGUUACAAAAAUGAAAAGAGUUAUGCAAAAAGGAACAAGAAAAAUCAAGAGUAUAAAACCCCAUUAAGGCUAUGCUACAAAAGCAUCUGGACCACCAUUCCGCAGAAAAGAGCUUCAAAGCCUCAAAUCUUCUAUUUCAGAGUGGUUUUGUGGCUAAUCAAAAACACUGAAGCACUUUCCCACUCAUAAGUGCUUUCAGGCAGUUGAAAAGCUCCAGCAAGGGACCUAAAUGACUUCUACUUCUCUAAAAGAAAAAAGUCUUUCUGCCUUGGAUAAACAAGGGAAGCUUGGUGAAAAAUGCCAAAGGGAACUGCAAAAAUUCAAAAUCACCUAAAGAAUAUGGACAAUUGCUUCAAACUACAAGAUAAGAUAGAAGUACCUUUCCCAUUCAUGUCUCGGCAGAAUUCACUUCCACAGCAACAUUGAAAUGCUUUAAUGGGAUGAUUUUCAUCAGCAAAGUCAAUUGCAUAAUCCUGCAUAUGACUUAAAGCAUGUUAUAAUAGUAACCAAACAAUGAGAAAUCCAUGUACUUUCAUCAAAAUUCAAUCUAAGUCAGUACCAAUUUCAAAUUAGCCAUAGGUGAUACAAACAAUUUAGCAUGCAAUUAAAGAGUGUGCAACACAGGUCUAAGUAGUGUGGUUGUUCAUAAAAUUCUCAGAGCACCAGGCAGGUUUUCAAAGCAGAACCUAUAUUAUGCAGUGUUGGUUGACUGUGCAAAUUCACAGCUUGAUUGUGAUUGAUUGAUAGCUUGACUCAUUGCGAUUGAUUUUAGGCUGUCAAUCAAUGACAAAAUUAGGGCUACAAAUAUAGGGGUUCCGUUCUUGAUUGUAUAGUUGACUAAUGGUGUCUAUAUUCAACAUAUUCUAGGAUAAAAUUUCUUUAUUUUUUUCCCGUAAACUCCAUAUAUAUCCAUUGAAAAUUCCUCCAUCAAUACAAGAAAUAAAAUUUCAUGAAUGUUCACAUGGUAUCAGAGCAAGAUUUCUGUUGAAAUUUCUUCUUUGUUGUUCAACCUUAAUUACCAUAACCAAGUGCAGUCUUCUUUUCUGCAACUUUGAACAAUUUUUGGUCUUCAUUGCUGAAAUCGACGUAGAGAAAUACAACCUUCAUAGCUGGUCCUCCCAUGUUCUCUUCACAUAGAGAAAUACAGCCUUCAUUGCUGGUUCUUCCACAGUCUCUCUGCUUUUAUUCACUUUCUCAAUAUGUCUGAAAUAUCUAGUAAUGUCCAUAUCUAUCCACCCAAAAUUCCAAUCAAACCGCAACCCACUCUUCCACCGGUGAAUACCAAAAUCUCUAGGUGCCAUUUAAUGGCUAGAAUUAUUUGGUUUAGAGUCAACUUGUAAGACAUUCCUUAAAGGAAAGGGGAAGCUAACACAUUUAUUUGGACUAGUGCGAAGCCUAGAAGAACUGAAGUUUGUUACAUAGGAUGAAGAGGAUUUAAUGAUAACAUCUUGGCUUUGGAACUCAAUAUAAUGGGAGAUUAGUGGGACUUGUACGUUUCUCAAAAUGUGAAGAGAUUUUGGAGGUUGCUAAGAAAUCAUACUCUAAGGUAAAAGAUGCUGCUUCGAUUUACAAAAUUAAAACAAAGAUCUCAUCCAUCAAAAAGGUACUUUAUACGUAAUUAAGUACUUAAAAAGUUAGUAGCUUUACUUGGAUUAUUAUCAAAAUUUCAAGAUGAAAUGUAAUGAAGAUGCAACUGUGCUAUAGAAGUUUGUUGAAAGGGAGAGAAUUUUUUAACUUCUUCUUGGAUUAAAGGUUGAAUAUGAUCAAAUUAGAGUGCAGAAUCUUAGAAAAGAAACACAUCCAUUCCUCAACGAAGUGUUUUCAAUUGUAAGGUUAGAAGCUAGUAGGAGAAUAGUCAUGUUAGAAGCCCCAACAAAUGAAGGAUUAGCUCUAGCUAUAGUCAAGUCGAUCCCGAGGUAGCUACUAGAGAGACAAAUGGGAAGAAUGAGACCCUUAGACCACAAAAUAAUAAAGAUAGAAAACGUUGUGCUUAUUGCAAGAAGCCAAGAGAUGCAAAGGAGAAACUAUUAGAGACUUCAUGGGAAGCCACAAUCCUUUAUGAAGGGUAAUAAUAGCUGAAACACAUAAGAUGGACAAUGGGGAGGAUAGACUCUUAUGGCCUAAUAAGAAGAUAGUCCCAACAAAGAGGCCUCAAAUUCCAAAGGGUCUAAUGGAGGACUAAACAAAGAAGAAAGAAAAAGACUUCAAAGCUUCUUAACCCCUAGCAAAACGUAGUGCCUCAUGUUCAUUAGCCCACUUAGGUAAGUACUCAAACUCUUAUGCCCUUAGCGCUUCAAAAGACUAUUAGAGGAAAAGAAAGAAAAAGUGAUUCUCGUAGUAGCUACAAGCAAACUGAAACAUCUUAAUAGUUAGAGGAAAAGAAAGCAAAAGUGAUUCUUAUAGUAGCUACAAGAAGGACUUGGGUGCUCUAAAAUACUUCUUGGGCAUUGAGGUGUCUUAAUUCAAACAAGUACUCUUUCCUCUCACAACGGAAGUAUACAUUAGAUCUCUUGGUUGAAAUUAGUAACUCUGCUUAUGAACCUAUAGAUACUCCCAUUAAGCUAAAUCAUUGCUUGUACAUCUAUCCUGAUAAGAUUCCAACCAACAAAGAAAGAUAUUAGAGAUUGUGGGGAAAUUAAUCUAUCUAACCCACACUAGACUUAUCAUAUGUAGUUAGUGUUGUAAGUCAAUUCAUGCAUAAUCCAAGUGAUCGACACAUAAAUGUAGUAAAUCGUAUCUUGGCCAACCCAAAGUCCUCUCCAAGCAAAGGUUUUAUGUUCUCCAGACACAGACAUCUAUAUAUUGAGGGUUACAUAGACCGACUUUGCCGGAUCUAGAUUGGAGAAAAAGUCUACUUCAGGGAAUGUGUCAUUCGUAGGAGGAAAUUUGGUGACUCAAAGGAGUGAGAAACAAAAUGUGGUCUUGUUGUCUAGUGCAGAAGUUGAAUACUAUGCACUCCAUCAUGCAACUCCGAAACUUACUUAACUAAGAAUUCUCUUAAGUGAGCUUGGGUUUGGUUCUAAGAUAUCUAUGGUGCUCUUUUGUGAAAACACAACAGCUAUUGAGAUUGCAAAUAAUCCGAUACAACACGAUCCAACUAAGCAUAUUGAACUUCAUGGUAAUUACAUCAAGGAUAACCUAGAUUUUGGCUUAUGAUAAAGGUUCCCUACAUUAAGAGUGCAAAUCAAUUGGCAGAUAUGAUGACUCAUGUUGUUACUAGUGAUCCAUUUUAUGCAUCAUUAUCCAAGUUGGGCAUAUGUGAUAUCUAUGCACCAACUUGAGGUGGAUAGUUAGCAUAUACAACUGUGAUUAGCUAUGAUUUAUAGCUCUAUACAACUAUGAAUUACAGCUUUGUACAACUGUGUAUACAACCAUAAUUAAUUGUAUAGUUGUGAUUUAUACAAUUGCAUAUUAUUCUGUAUGGUUGUCUAUUACUUUGUGUUGAAUAUAAUGAAUUUAUAGUGUACAAUCUUUCCUUUUUUAAUAUAGGUCACAUGUAUGGUAGUUAGGACUCCUAGCCUUGUAUAUAUAUAUUUUCUCAAUUGUAAGUAGAUACACAAUGAAUGAGAAUCAAGGUUUUUUUUUUCUCUCUCUUAACAUGGUAUCAGAGCCAAGGGAGAAAACCUAAUUCUUUCCAGUUUCCUCGUGAUAUCAAUUCCGGGAAACAUUCCUAUGACCGUGUUUCAUUCUGGUCACCUUCCCCAGACCCCAAAGCUUUCCGGUCGGUCGAAUCGUCGUCAGAAAACAUUCACCGCCGGCGAUUUUUCCUGCGAACUUUCCCGGCGAUGUCUUUUUCCGACACUGCAAGGAGCGCCUGGAGGAGAUCUCCAAUUUUUCCCAAAGCACCGGAGCCAGAAAACCACCCACACGCCGGCCACGCGCGUUUUUCCGGCCGGCUACUGCAUCUCACGCGCCGGCGCGUGAGGAUGCGUGAGCCACUUUCCGGCGACGCGCUUCCUCCUCCAGCCUCGCCUGACACUGACUAGCCACCCUUCAUACCUGUUUCUGCCAUCCGAGCCCUGCACGUGCCUCUUUUGGGGUUCUUUUGCCUCCGCCGGCCCUCUGAACAGUUUUUCCGACGUCCUCCGGCUAUUUUUUCUCAACCCCAAUCCCUGCACGUGCCUUGGGAAGUGUUCUUCUACCUUUCCGGUGGUGCCACGGUUGUUUUUCUUUUCUAUUUGGUCUCUCACACAGGCGAUUCUUCGGUUUUUCCUUCUUCAGCCGCAUCUGAAGCCGUAUUAGGGCUCUUUUCGAUCCAAAUAUACUUCAUUCUCCAGAUAAGUGGAUAUGGCUACUAAAACUUCCAUUUUUUCCUCUGUCAUAUCUGGAUCUCCUAUGAUUACUUCGGAGAAAUUGGUUGGCAGUGAAAAUUAUCUUUCUUGGUCUGCCUCUGUUGAACUUUGGUUUAUGGGACAAGGAUAUGGGGAUCACUUGGUUACACAGGAGGCAGAUAUCCCUGAGGUUGAGCGCGUACAGUGGAGAAAGAUAGAUGCCCAGUUAUGUAGUGUAUUAUGGCAAUCAGUUGAUCCCAAGAUCCUUCUUCAUCUUCGGGCCUACAAAACUUGUUUUAAAUUUUGGACUCAGGCCAAAGGAUUAUACACGAAUGAUAUCCAGCAUCUUUAUAAGGUGGCUUUUGCUAUUGUCCAUAUCAGCCAACAGGACUUGGAUCUAUCUACUUAUAUUGGCCAGAUUGCCUCUCUUAAGGAGGAGUUCUUGACUGUGAUGCCUCUUACUCCUGAUGUUGGGGCUUAACAAACACAGCUUGAUAAGUUCUUCAUGGUCCUUACUCUUAUUGGCCUCCGUCCGGAUCUUGAGCCUAUCCGCAAUCAAAUUCUUGGUAGUUCAUCAGUUCCGUCCUUGGAUGAUGUGUUUUCUCGCCUCCUUCGUAUCUCGUCCACUCAGACUUUGCCAUCUGAUAGCAUUUCAGAUUCUUCUGUGUUAGUUUCUCACACUACCUCUCGAGGAGGACGCAGUGGUAACCGAGGUAGAGGCCAAUGUCCUCAUUGCACCUAUUGCAAUAAACUUGGCCACACUCGCGAUCGUUGCUAUCAGUUACAUGGACGGCCUCCUCGCACUGCCCAUGUGGCCCAGUCCUCUGAUUCUCAGCUGCCUCAGCCUCCGAGCUCCUCCGCAUCUCAGGCAUCUCAGGCUUCUAUUGCCUCUGUUGCCCAGCCUGGUAAUGCUUCUGCCUGCCUUACCCACACAUCUUCUCUUGGACCCUGGAUUCUAGAUUCUGGAGCUUUUGAUCACCUAUCUGGUAAUAAGGAUCUUUUCUCCUCUAUUACUACUACCUCUGCUUUACCUACCGUUACCUUAGCUAAUGGUUCUCAAACUGUAACUAAAGGUAUUGGUUUGGCCCUUCCUCUGCCUUCUCUACCUCUCACUUCUGUCCUUUAUACUCCUGAAUGUCAUUUUAAUCUUAUUUCCAUCAGCAAAAUCACUCAUACUCUUAAUUGCUCUAUUACCUUUUCUGAUAAAUUUGUGACCUUGCAGGACCGGAGUAUGGGGAAGACGAUUGGCAUAGGACGUGAGUCUCAAGGCCUCUAUCACCUCACCUCGGAUUCAUCUCCUAUAGUUUGCAUUUCCACUGAUGCUCCUCUCCUCAUUCACAGUCGUUUGGGC
rnacentral:lncRNA from 1 species